rnacentral:lncRNA from 1 species
UUUCUCUCUCUCUGCCUGUCUCUCCCUGGAUGCCUUGCCUUGCCAACUCUCUUUCUGUCUCUUAUAGCCUCCUCCUCUUCCUUCCUUGUAGAGAGAAAGAGAGGGACACUAAGCGAGGCUUUGGUGGAUAAUUACUACUAGCACUAUUGUUAGAGAGAGAGAGAGAGGCAUGCAGCAAUAGUAAUAGUGAAUUGGUGGCCAAGGAAGACGCACGUACGUACGCUACCAAUUAAGUGUGAUUGAGAAAACAAGAGGUGUGUUAAAGCUGACUGCCUAGUAUAACUUGUGGACAGUUUAAUGGCCAUGCGUCUCCUAAUUCCUCUCCUGCCUGCUGCCUAAAUGUGUAAAACAUGCAUGCAUGCAUAUGUGCAUGUGUGUGUGCACGAGCGCUACUUAGAUGGAUAGCUUGUAUGUUUCAACAGCUACUACUAGCAAACCUUAAUUAAGCCACCAGCAAGACAUGCAUCUCCCCAAUUUCUAGCUAUGUAGUAGUAAUUAGUGCUAGUGGUAUACUCCUAUAUUUAGCCUUAAUUUCAUAUUUUUAGUGUGUGGGCUAGGAUUAAUGCUGUGACAGUGAGCACUCCACUAUUCAUUAGUUAACGUGAAGGGGCAUCUAUCACCACUACAGCUAAACAAUGAACGGAGUAUUCGCAAAAAAAAAGAACGAACGAAUGGAGAAAUAAAUUGAACAAGAGUUAUUAUUUGUGUUAAUUUGGAUUGCUUGUUACUCCUACUCCAAUUUGCAUUUGUACAUAUGCAGGUGUGGGUGUGGGGAGAGAAAGGGAUCUAAGCAGGAGUGGGGAGUGAGUAAUAGUAUAGCAGCUAGCAGCAUAUUCAGCAUAUAUUUCAGCAGCUAGCUAGCCAGGAUAGAAAGCAAGGUCUCCAACGCUCCAGCUCCAUGCAAAUAUUUUCUUUCGUGACGAUGAAUGAUUCCUUUCCUGGUGUGAUAGUGUCAGCCUGCAAGGCUGGAGCCACAGGAAAAAUGCUCUCUCAUCUCAUCUCUCCCUGCUAUUUUGUCACAUAUAUGCUCCUUUAUUGGUGGUUCAGUUAUUUCCAGAAAUACAAAAAAACUAAAUAACACCACCUGUUAAUAUGUAUACUACUAGCUAGGAACAUAUUAACCAAUACAGUUGUCUUUUGUUGUAAUUAGCAUGCAAUUCCCCCAUUGUUAAUAAUUAAUUAACAGCUUUUUUCUUCUUCCUUUUGUGAGCUGAUUAUUAUUUAUGCUGAUGAACAGCUAGCUUGCUUGCUUGACAGUUGGCAACUAAUAGUAGCUAGCUAACUAAAGAGGUGGUAGUGAGGCAGUGGUGGUGCAGGUGUCCCUCCCUAGUGCUAGUGGUGGCUGCUGGCCCCUGGCAGUACUAGCUUAGCAGGCGAGCCACAGAAAAAUAAUAAUGCCGCGCCUGCACUGCAAUUUGCUUGAUGCUUGUUCACUCACUAACCUCUCAUUCAGCAGCAACACAACUGCAACCAAUGCAAACGUUUCGUUCAGUUCAGCAGAUCGUCUGUCAUUAAUUUGCACUGCAGCUGCAGUUGACUUGCAUAUUGCAUCGCCUAAUCCUAGCUAAUAACAGUCACUUGCUUUCUAAGCUAAGCCAACCAAAAUCCAGCCCUACCAUUUCAUUCAGUUCGUGCAGCAGUGCCACUUCCAUCUUUCUCUCUCUCCAAACGUUCGUUACUGAUCGAUGCUAAUUAAUAGUUGUUAGUUAGUGGUUGCGUUUUUAUUUAUUCUUAAAAUUCGGUUUUCAUUUUACAAAAAUCGGGCGGACUGCCGGACUUUCUGCUUGGGUUUGGUGAUUUAUCGGUGCUAGCUUAGGGCCUUGUUUAGUUCACCCCGAAAUCUAAAAAGUUUUUAAGAUUUUCUGUCACAUCGAAUUUUAUGUCACAUGCAUGAAGCAUUAAAUAUAGACGAAAACAAAAACUAAUUACACAGUUUGACUGUAAAUCACGAGACGAAUCUUUUGAUUCUAGUUAGUCUAUAAUUGGAUAAUAUUUACCACAAACAAACGAAAGUGCUACAGUAGCGAAAUUCAAAAAAAAAUUCACUAAACAAGGCCUUUUAUAUAUGCAGUAGAUAGAUAGCUGCUGUGGCUACACUGUCUCAAUCAAAUGAGCUAGUGUCAUCGAUCGUCUUCAGAUUAAGAGCGAGAUAUAUUGGGUCACACUCACAACUAUCAACUACUGCUCCCGUACUCUUGCGUCAAAAUGACCAACUAGUAAAUUUUCUUUUGUAUCUGUUUUAGUAGUUUUUUUUGAGUAAUUAGUGGCAUUAUCAUUCAUAUAUCGUUCAAUCUCAAUCAUAGUAGUCGAUGCUUUUUUCAUGAAAAAGGAAAUGAUCGAUUGUGAAUUUUAUUUUAUAUAUGAAAUUAGCCUUCCUUGUAAUUAAAUAAGCAUAAGCAUUUCCCUGCAAAGAGGGAAAAUGGAGUCCUUGCAUUGCAUGAUACUCCUAUAUAUGUGUGGUGACUUGUGACUAGCUUAACUGUGUGAGAGAGAAGUCAACGGUUACAUGAAUAUGAAGAGAAAUGGGAAGGUAGUAGGAGGACACGCAUGAUUCUUGACGUGAGGAUCAAUGGGCCGGAAUUGUUAUACAUUUGCAUUGCUGUGUGGGGGCAAGCAAGGGCAACGAUAUAUAAUCUAGCUACCUCCUAAUUAAGAUAGCUAGUUUAGCAAUUAGAAAAAUAAAAAUCAAAGAACAGUAGUGAUUGGAUGCCAUAUACAUGAUGGCCGGCGAGGUGGGGGCAAGUAAGACAUCCAUCCAACCAUCCAUCACAUGGAAAGGAAAGCUAUAGCUGCCCUUGCUAAGUUGCCACUUAAUCAUCUCUGCUGCUACUCAUUAUAUACCUUAGCUAUAGAUCUUCUCUCACUCAAAUGGCCAAACAUGCACACACAUGACACAUGUACACUCACUUGCACUACAAUAAUAAUCCAAAGUUAUUAUCUAGCUAGUGUGUGUGUACAUGCCUUUCCUUGCCAAAACUAAAUAAAAAAAGGGGGGUGAGUGUCCUUGCACUGAGCUAGCUAGCUAGCUUGCCAUGAUCCUGCCUAUGAUUGGCAAUCAGCCGAGUUGUCCCUCAUGUGGAGAACCCUAGCUUUAAGGAUCCUAUUAUUAUAUAUAUGAUUAUCUGCUAGCUAGCUACCUAGUGCAUCCGAUCCAUCUCUCCUAGCAGCCAGAACAUGCAUAUGCUGAUAAUGCAAUGCACUCUUGCUUUGUAUGAGUGUGAUCAGUGUAUGCUAGAUUUAUUAUAUGAACCCAAAAGGUAAACUAAUAAUAAAUACGAGAUUAUGAAUAAGAAAUGUUUUUAUUUGUGCUACAAUCAGCCCGAUCCUCCCUCCAGUAACACGUAGGCCACCAGUACUAGACCAAGUACAUGCCACGGCACCAUCUCUCAGCUCCACAUUAUUAUUUUUCUUAAAAGAAUGUAUGUAUGAUGUCGUCAUUGCCUUAUCAGUCGAGUUAUAUAUCUUUCUUACGCCCACGGGCCAGCAUGGCCAUGGAUAUAGAUGGAGUUGAAAGUGUGUGCAGUGUGCUACUCCACUCAACAAGAUAGCUUUAACAGCAGCCAACAUCUGGCCAACCGCCCCUCGAUCGGUAAUUUGCAAACUAUUCCUCAGUAGUAGCUAGCCAUCAUACAAGAAAUUUUCACGAGGAGUGCUAGGAAAAAAUUAAAGAUAAGUUCUAGAAAUUCUCAUAAUAAUUAGAAACAUAUUGCAUUUAAUUUGGUAGACUCUCAUGUCUCACCAUCAUAACCAACAAUUGCCAUUGCAUCCCUUUUGUUUCUAAAUUAAAAAUUACCCACCAUUACCAUUGUGCGGAAAAAACAUUUCUAGUUUUAACUAAAUUCAGACAGAUGGAACGAAUUUGACGUAUCACAGCCUGCAGUUCUGAUCGCUUUACUGGAGAAAAGAAAAGGAGAACACAUUUAGGAAGCAAUUGGCAGAUGAAUUAAGCUAGCACCAACUUUGUAAUAUAUGCAACAGGAUUUACAAGAGUUGGCAGAUUGGAUUAUUGAUUGGUGUUGGAAGAGAACAUGUGGCGCAGUUGAAGGACACCAACCGUACCCCAGCCCACCUGCAUCUGACUAUUUCUGCAUACAAGUGGAUCGAAGUGGUGGCCUGCAUUUGAUCGAUUUUGUAUAUUUUGUAUCAUCACCCAACUCUAACUGUAUUAGUGGGACACUCGAUCACUGCUAGCUCUCAUAUGUAGUUUGCAGGGAGAUCAGCACUCAUAGUCUAGUUUAGUGAGUGGGCCACCACUCAUCGAUUCAAAUCAUACUCAUACCAAAUUAAUUAUAUUUUCUCUUUAUUACAAAAAAAAAACCAACCAACCAGAAUUGUUGUUUAACUGGCGCUUUUAACUUUCACCAUCAUCAUCAUCUAGACAUUCAAGCAGAUUGAUACCACAAAAUUGGUACUACUACUAGAUUAUUCAUGAUGAAAAACAAAAGUGUCACAAAAUAGAGAACUGUUUGAUUUCAGAUAAGUAUCUUAUAUGUUCACGGAUUUUUAUUCUAGUAGUUAAAUUAUAUAUUUAAAAAAAUAGCGGCCGUGCUCGGGCAUGUAUUUCAUUAAGAGGAAAUAUGACAUUGUACAAAUUAGCCCCUCAGCGCUAAAUAUCAUAUUGAAAGUCGUGUUCAUAUAUAAUGUUCUCAUAGACUUGAAGAAGAUUAGGUAGCUAGGAGAGACCUGGAUGAGGGAAAGAGAGCCGGGAGGAGGAGAUUGACUUGGCAUGCAUGAUAACAUCAUUCAGAAGUACAGCAAGUGUGCAUGUUGUGCUUGCUCCAAUGCAAGGUUAAGGAAUAAGAUUUGGAGCUAGCCGGGCAGCUAGCAAAUGCAAGCUGCGGGGAUGCAUCUCGCUGUCAUGCUUAGAGAUGAGCGUUAAUCACGAUGCCCCCAACUAACUGACAGACAGACAGACAUGUCCUCCAAACGAAGCAUCGGCAAGCCGAGUAGUACUCAGUAUGCAAGCGACACUUGUGCACAGCAUAAAUGUAGCUGAGAAUAUUAAAGCCUUGUUGUUAGAGGUUAUGCCUGCCUUGUUGCUGAUGAAUGGACUUCAGCCUAGCUAGCUCUUGUUGUAUAUAUUAGUAAUAAUAUAUAUUUAGUGGCGUGGAGUGGAGGGAGAGUGUGGAUGCUGGUAUAUGCUAGCUUCAUCUCUCUGUCCCUCUCUCUCUCUCUCUCUCUCUCUCUCUCUCUCUCUCUCUCUGUGUGUGUGUGUGUGUGUGUGUGUGUGUGUGUGUGUGUGUGUGUGUGUGUGUGUGUGUGUGUGGUUGAUGCCUUCCACCUUGAGAGGAGGAGGAGGAGGAAGAGUGUGGCAGGCAAGUGCAUGUUUGGCUUUGCUCAUGGUCAUGGGCAACCUACCACUGCCACCACCCUCCCAGGCUCAGAUUUCAUUCACACAAGACACUAUACUCUGAUUGGUGGUGGACAGGGGAAGGCAACCUGCAGAUUUAUUCCUCCCCCUGCAACCACAUGCAUGUGCUAGAAUCAUCUUUUGUUCCUUGUCACAAGUCUUGCAUCUAUGCCAUCCCUCUUUGCAUUGCUACAUGCAUGGAAGGCAGAGUGAGUCCAUGCAUGUUGCUGCUGCUGAUUAGUUAGUUAGUUCAUCAACAACAUGGUGGCAUGGACUGAUGAUAACCACAUACACACGUAUAAUGCUACCUAGAUGCAUCUUCAGAGUUGAAACAUUAAUGGAUCAUGCUUCACGAAAGUAGAUUAGGUAGUGGCCGGAUGACACCAAAACCAAACUUGUGAAUCCUUCUUUAUUUCCCUAAUCAUAUACAGUACUUAGUUCCCUACGGUCAACUUACUAGCUCCCUGGUGAGGUUAGCUCCAUGAGUUAACCUUUGUGUCUUCACUCUAAAAAAAAUGGAUAUGACCAUUUAACCAACUGGAUAAAUGCUAUGUUAAGCAGAAGCCAACAUUAUUCUCCUGCUAUAUAUAUAUGAGAUGAGAAAGAGAGAAAGUGAGAGAGAACUAGACAGAGAUAGAGAAUCGGCAAAGAGAAUAAAAAGGACAGAACAAGAUCCUUGCAUUAUUAUUCACCAAUAAGACAAGAGGUACAAAGAGAACUUUACCAACUCCAACAAAAAAAAACUUAACCAACCAAUAUCAGGCAAGGUCUUUUUUUUUAAUAUAAAAUACUACAAGCUUGCUAUCUUUAGCAGCCAGUAGGAGCUCUCUGCUCUCACUGCUCCCUACUAGUCACUAGCAGAACAGAGCUGCCCCUCUUAUCCAAGAACUAUACUACACUGAGCAACAGAAUCCACAAAAAGGAAACUAGUAACUAACUAGUGACAAGAUCUCUCUCCCUCAACAGUGGGCCCCUGACCACGACCUGAAAUGAUGGCGGGACUACAUAUAUAUAUACAAAUAAUGGUAAAAGGAAAUUCAAUCUGGUAGGAGAUGAAAAAUUGUGGCCUUUCUUUUUCUUGCUUUCUUCUUUCUGGAAAAGUCGUUACAAAAACGACCACUCGUAUGAAUACCCUUUUGAGCAUGCAAAGUUUCCAGGCUACAGCAGUUUUGUUUGUUCCCAUCCCAUUCCCAUGCCUAGAAGUCUAGAACCACACUGAUGAGUGAUCACUCAUCCAUGCAUAUAGUACAGCAUAGCUGCAGUUAGUAGUAUGUAUUGAUUCUUCAGAAGUUCAGACACUGAAUUUCAUAUGUUAUAUAAUCUAUAUGAUCCAUGGAUUGAUGGAUCAGAGAUUACUACAUAUUAAUUGAGUCCAGAAGGUUUGUAUAUUUUCACCAAGUUGUAGGCAUGCCUAACUACUGGAGUAUGGUUUAGUUAGGCAACCGGCCAAAAUGUUGCAGUGCAGUGGAAGGCAAGUGUGUGCUUCACUGAAAACUGGUGGCGAGUGAAUGAGUGAUGAAUGAACCAGUUGAUGCAUGGCCUACUUUCAGCUCCAACCUAAACUCUGCUUCCAAAGUUAGCAACUUGAAGUCCCAGCAGUAGUACUGUGUGUGUCCAUCUCAUAUAUAUCAUGGCAUGGAAAAGAGAAAAUUGGGCAUGCAUAUAUGCCGGCCUUUUUAUUUGCAGAUUAUAUAUAUAUAUAUAUAUAUAUAUAUAUAUAUAUAUAUAUAUAUAUAUAUAUAUAUAUAUAUAUAUAUAUAUAUAUAUAUAUAUAUAUAUAUAUAUAUAUAUAUAUAUACUAUUGGUUGGGUGGAUAGCUGUAUAUGUGCACUGACUUUUGUAAUAGACUGUAAUUGGGAGUGAUAUAUAACUCGAUCUAGAGAAACUACACACAUUUAUCCAGAUGUUUAUCUUUGCACUUGUUAUCCACUCAUAUAUAGCUAUCGACGACGUACUAGAACACAAGUAUAUAAAUUUUUGCUGGCCACAAGAAAAGAAAAAGAAAGAAGCAUAUAUAUAUAUAGCUAGGCAGGCAGGUGGCAAUCGUAUGCCCAGAGCCCACACACACCACACAUGCAUAGGCAGGGCAGCAGAGCCACUAGAUAGAGUGCCACUCACUGCAGGUAGGCAGCAGCACACGUAGACAAGUGAUCUACUUAGGCCUUGUUUAGUUCAAAAAAACUUUGCAAAAUCGACACUGUAGCACUUUCGUUUGUAUUUGACAAAUAUUGUCCAAUCAUGGACUAAUUAGACUCAAAAAAUUCGUCUUGUCAAUUUCGACCAAACUGUGUAAUUAGUUUUUAUUUUCAUCUAUAUUUAAUACUCUAUGCAUACAUCUAAAAAUUCGAUGUGACGAAGAAUCUGAAAAAUUUUGCAAAAUUUUUUGGGAACUAAACAAGGCCUUAACUACUAGUAGCUAGUAGGAAUACUGAAGUGGCUCCUGUCCUGUGUGCCCCUAGACAAGUGAUAAGUGGCGGCGGCGGCAGCAGCAGCAGGGUUUCUCUUUCUCAGUGGUACCAGUGGCGGAGUGGCCAGUAUGUAGCAGAUGGAUGGAUGGAAAGAUAGAUGUUCUGUUAGCAGCAGCAGCAAAAGCGACUGCUUUUAUAUAUAUAUAUAUAUAUAUAUAUAUAUAUAUAUAAUCCGUAGUUUGCAAAUAAAGCAGACAAGAAGGGAGCGAACAAGGCAGCAGCCAUGACUUAUCGGCGAAACGAAACGAAGAAACGGCGCUGAUGAAUCGGAUGCCGGAUGCUCCUCUCCUCUGUGGAUUGAGGAGAGAGGACGACAGCAGGACAGAGGACAGGGACACAUGCACACAGAAGACAGGAGCUAGUAGCAGCAUUGCAUGCAACCUGUGGAAGGCAAGGCAAGGCAAGGAAAGCAAGAGCCUCGCCGGCACCGCGCGCACCAUAUUCUUCCGUGACUGACGGCGACGCUGCAACCGAUUGAUCCUCUACACGUACUCACUGAAUGAUCGAAUCCAACACGUACGUACGUACGUACUCAGUCAUUUAGCUAGCUUGUUGAAAUUGUUUAAACACUGCCUGCCCGUGUAGUUAGGCCUUGUUUAGAUCCAAAUUUUUUUAGAUUUUAACACUGUAGCACUUUCGUUUUUAUUUGACAAACAUUAUCCAAUUAUGAAGCAACUAGGUUUAAAAGAUUCGUCUCGUGAUUUACAGAUAAACUGUGCAAUUAGUUAUCUUUUUUAUCUAUAUUUAAUGUUUCAUGCAUAUGCCGUAAGAUUCGAUGUGAUGGGGAAUCUUGUAAAGUUUUAGGUUUUAUAUAUAUAUAUAUAUAUAUAUAUAUAUAUAUAUAUAUAUAUAUAUAUAUAUAUAUAUAUAUAUAUAUAUAUAUAUAUAUAUAUAUAUUUGGUGUUCGUGGCCACAAUCUGUGUCUUCCCUCGCUCGCUUCAAAAGCAAAUGAAAGGCCAGCCACCAUCUCCGAUCCGUCCUUAAUUAAUCCUGCUCAUGCAUGCAUGUCACUCAUGCAUCCAUCCGGCCUCCUCCUGCUCGAUCCCCUUGUUCGACACAUGCCGCAUCGUAGUAUCUACAAUCAUAUUGCACGCAUGAUUCCCAAUUGCUUUUCUUUUUUCCCCAGCCCUUUUUGUGAUACUCAUGCCCACACCAGGACCAGCACACCGCUAUUCUUAAAUUUUUUUUAAAAAAAUGCGAAGAAUGACUUAAAUACAACUUAUUUUUAACUUAUUGCACUUAAACUUUUUUUUGUCCGGCUUUGAAUCACUUGUGAACAUUCCAUUUUGGCGUUGAUUCUUGCGAUUCUCUUGAGAAACCAGACGGUUUCCUCUUGCUUGUCUCUAUUGCUCUGUUGCUGGCUGAUGCUGCGCCACCAAAACCAAAUUCAGAUAUACUCCACACAUGGAGUAUGUUGCAUGCAUGCCUUUAACCUACUGCCUUUUGGGAUCGGAUGCCAUAUGCUAGGUUGAAGAGUGGUGUUGUGCAGCUAUCUCCUCACUCGUCCCACUCGCCUGUGGUUGCCAAUUAGCUUGCUUGUCACGCGCUUUCAGACCUUGCUUUUAGGUUCCUCUUGUACUCUAUUUUGUUUUUUAUUUAAGCUUAUGAGAAGAUAGACAAUUCACUUUAAAUUUCAACACUCUGUCACGCAUCAAAUUAUUAUUUUUUAUUUUGAUUGUACUUGUUAGGAUCCAAACUCCAAAUCUCUCGCGGGGCUAGAUAGCGUAUUGAGUUGCUUACACCAAUGGAUUCAACCCAAAAGCUUAAGAUGAUGUUCAAUGUAGAAAAGUUUAUUUUAUAUUUCAACAUUUCAAAUAUAAAAAGGUCAAUUUGGAGCAUGACAACUUGUAAUGGUGUAUCUCCUCAAUUUCUAGCAUGGCCAAGGGUAAAAUAAGUAAAACUAAGUUACACAAACUUUUAAACAGUAGAAGUAAAACACUAUGAAGUUGAUAACAUAGACAUUCGUCAAUAAUAUAGACCACAUGGACUAUGGUGAAAGACCAUUGCAAGCAAUUGCGCAAAAAGAAAGCCUUUAACCUCCUUACUUUAAACUACCGUUGUCGUCUGAUUUACCUCGUCAAAAUCUAAAACAGCACAUCUUAUCUCCUAAUGUCUCAAUUACCUCCAUAGCCUGGUUUGAAGCGAUUUUGAAUGUGGUUUUGUCUGUUUUUAUUAAAAAUCUAGGAAAUACUUGAUAAAACCACGUAAAAUGUCUAUAAGAAUCUAAAAAUGUUGACAAAAAUCCUGGAGAUAGAUUUAAAUGUGGCAAAUCUAAAUAAAAAUAUCUCUAUAAGCUUCCAAUAUUAUAUUUGGAUCUAUAAAGUUAGGGAAAAUAUCUAGAAAAUUAUGGGAAAAAUCUCGAAACACAGUAAUUGAUGUUUAAACAUGUUUUGAAAAGUUUCCACACAAAAAUAAGUAUGAUGCAACUAGUAUUCAUCUUAUAUUUUUGUUGUGAAAAGUUUUUGAAACACAUUUAGGCACGGAUUAGAAUGUUUUGUGAUUUCCUAGAGCUAAAUCUAUUUUUUUAAAAGCUAUAUAUUUUCAUGAGCUCUGAAUAUUUUAUUAAGGUUUACAUGUCCUAAUAUACCUCUAGUAUUUUUCUCAGAAUUUUUAGAAGCUUAGAAUUUUUUAUGGUUUAAUAUCUUAUUAAGUAUUUAUUGGUAUUUUAUUAACUAAAAUUAGUACGAAACUGCUUUCAAAACCUCUUCAAUCCUGUGUACGGAGGUAAUUUGAAUGGUUUUAAGAGUACAUGAUAUGAUAUGUCUAACUUUAGAGUUGGAGGAGUAAAAUCAGACCAAGCUGAUAUUUCAGGGAGGUAAACUGGAUUUUGCUUUUCAGUUUUUUUUUUUUUUUUUUGAGCAGAACUUUCUAACUGUGUGUGCACCACUGCAGCUAACGUCCCUUGACAAUUGGGCCCUGGAUGGGGAUUCUGCGCUAUAUCAUAUUCACGUUAGGCAAUUGGGCCGGCCCAAUACGGCGCCUAGCAGCUAGCACUUUAUUCUUUUCCUUUCUUGAUGCUGCUUUUUCCCCUCUUCUUUGCAGCAGCCAGCAGUAUACCUAGGCAUGCAGCCCGAGCCCGUGAGCACAGCCCAAAACCCAUCAUUUUGGCUCGGCCCUAGCUCAGCCCAGCCCGAAGGUCAUUGGGCUCAGGCUGGCAUGACACGGGGGUGCAGGCCGUGCUUGGGCCGCACUUUAGGCCCGCAGGCCAGCACGGCCCGGCCCGCCAAAUAACGACAUUGCACAAAACAACUCAUUUUGAUAUCUAAAUCUAUUCUCUACAUCUGUCAUCUGUAUUUGAAUGUGUUCUUUAUACUGAUGAAGUGAUGAACUGAUGGAUGUGUUUGAAAUCUGUUUUAAAUCUAUGUUUAUUGAUAUAUUAUCUGUUCAACGGGCUAUGGGCUGGCCCGGCCCUCCAUUUUUUGUCGUUCUGACAGACCAGCCUGGUACGCAAAAAGACCCACAGGUGUAAGUGCAUCUAGCCCUUUAGUGGGUUUUGGUGAAUUGAAUGACAACACAGUUAAAGGUCUAACAAGUUUGCUAAGUGUAUCAAAGGUUCAACUAGAAAGCAAACUUGAUGGUAUUUCACAUAAUGUUUAAAUGAAGACCAAAGUUGUGUAUUGUUAUAAACUGAAGCUUGAUUGGUAUCAACACUCAUAUCAAGAAGAUAUUCAAGCAAGGAUCACAAUAUUGAAGAAAUGGUUUUUCAAUGGAUGCUUAACAUGAUGUGACUUGAGUAUGGCUCGAUAGGGUGAAGAUAGCAAGGAAAGGGCUUCGAGGGACUAAGCGAACGUGAAGGGCAAGCAAUGGCUUGUAGACCGAGGUACCAUGGCUAAGGUGAAGAAGAGAGUACUUGCAUUGAGUCGAGGUACUAAUUGAGCUAUGAGGAGUCAUUGUGUUGAGGAUCAAAUCAUUAGUGGAAGUGACUUGAAGCCAUGGAUUGAACUCACAUGUGUUGAAAUGAUUCAAGUCACAUGCUCAAGCUAUAUUUACUCAAAGAGAGGAGACAAAGUUAAUUGCAUCCCUAAUGAAGUGAUAGUGAGAAGUGGCAUAUGAAGACAUUGAAGACUCAAGUGGUUAAAAUGGUUAUAUACUUUUGAUCUUGAGUUUAGGAUAUGCCGUACUAUAAAGAGGGAUGCAAAUUUAGUUGGUCUGAGGAAGAUAGAGUGCUCAAGUAUUAAAACUAAAUCAAAAGAGAGACACUCUAGCACUUCACGAGCACGUAGAAUAGUUUUGUAUGACUUGGGGUGUCGGAAGUCCCGACGUACGUCGGAACUGAUGACGUAUGUCGGAAGUGAUGACGUUCGUCGGAAGUCCCGACACCUGACCCUCUUGCUACCUCUGCUCGCGCUUGCGUCGGAAGUCCCGACGCGCGUCGGAACUGAUGACGCAUGUCGGAAGUGAUGACGUUCGUCGGAAGUCCCGACACCUGGCCCUCUUGCUACCUCUGCUCGCGCUUGUGUCGGAAGUCCCGACGUACGUCGGAACUGAUGACCUGUCGGAAGUGAUGACAUGUGUCAGAACUGAUGACGCGUCGGAACUGAUGACGUGUGUCGGAACUGAUGACGUUGACUGGUUUUGUGCAGACUUCUGACUAAGGUGAACAAUGUUUUUAGUGUAUGUUAGAAGUCCCGAGAUCCACGUCGGAACUUCCGACGUAGAUCUGAACGGUUAGUUUCCAGCUUCUUGUAUAAAUAGUUGUCUCCUCACUUCUAACCGUUGGCUCACUCUUCCACUCGACUAAACCUUCGGCCAAGGCACCUCUCUAGCUCCCAAAAGCUCCUCUCUUCUAUCCCCUUUGCUCCUAACUUCAAAUCUUGCAAGAGAUUGAGUGAGAGAAGGAUUCUUGGUGAGAGAAACAUCAAAGCAAAGCUUGAGCACUUGAUUUCUUUGUCAAGCCGGUUGGAUUUGUGUUUGUUACUCUUGGAGCAAGGCUCGUAGCCGGCUAGGCGUUGCCCGUGGAGCUUCCAACUUAUGUGGUAGUCCCGGGAGGUUUGUAAUCACUCAAAUCAUCUAGUGAAAUCACCCCUCAUCUCAAGAGAUUGCUCUCUUGACUUGAGAACGAGGAUAGGGUUGAAAGAGACCCGAAAAGCUUGUGUGGCUUCCUCAACAACGUGGACAUAGGCAAGCCUUGGUGGCGAGCGGAACCACGGGAUAAAUACCUUGUCACUUUGUGUUCUUGCUAUUUGUGUUGCUCUCUACUUGCUUAUUUGUGAUUCUAGGGUUUGGUCCCGAUCUACAAAUUGGUGGCUCUCUAAGGUCAAGGAAGCACUUGGAUAACUUCAUCUUACCACUAGGAAGUGGGGUUGUAAGUUAUUGGCUUCACAAAGUUCAUUUAAGCACUUGCAGUUCAUUUCCCGUAGGCGUCGGAACUUCUGACAGUUUACGUUGGAACUUCUGACGACGUCGGAAGUUCCGACCUAAACUGUCAUCACUUCCGACAGUUGCUGACAAGUGACUUUGAGUUGUGUAGAAAUUUUUAGAUACGCCUAUUCACCCCUCUCUAGGGGGCAUCAAGGUCCUUACAACAGGCCCAUGCCUGGGCCGGAGGUCAGGCACGCAGGCCGGUAAAGCACGGCCCACAAGGCAUGACGUGCCCCCUCGGCCCGUUAAGCAACGUGUCGGGCCGGCACGGUGUCGUGGCAUACCGGGCUGGGCCAGCCCGUUGCCCAAGUAUAGCCAGCAGACAAACUACUAAAAUCUCUCUCUAUCUGAUCCGAAUCCGAUCCGCCGCCUACUGUGCGUCGUUUCUUCAGAGUUUUUUUAAUAUUAUAUGGAGUGAUAAUAAUAAAGUAAACGAAGAAUUCCGUCCGUUCAGUUUUUUUUCUCAUCAUCAGAAUUCAGAUUUGUGGCAAACCACAAUCACUACUAUCAGUAGUAGUUUCUCAUCAUCAGAAUUCAGAUUUUUUUAACAAAGAAAGUGUAACGCGUUAAGCUGAUAUAUGCGUGAUCAAGGUAUACAUAUCACAUAUGAUGGGAAUCCAUCUAGCUGGAGUGCAGAUAUAAUCUAUUGCCUUUUUAAUAUGUAAAGCAAGAAUUUGCUGAUGAUGGAGGACUUGACAACAGCGAUCAAUUUCACCAGGGCGCAUUGGAUCCACGAUCAGAGUAAUAGCCACUGCCGGUGUCCAUUGCCUCUGCGCAAGGACAGUGGAAAUAUUUUGCCGCCUCAAUCACUCCUGUCUCUGUGACAGCUUCCAUGGCUGAAGGUCACUAGCUCUGACCAUAUUUUGCUAAAGCGAAAGACAAAUGAGCUAGCUCACUCUCAUACAUUUCAUCUAGAGAGAGAUGGGCUUCCUCCAAGACUGUCUCCCAGGCCGAACAUCCAGCGACCAAAUGUAAGUUCAUCGUGCCAACUGCCAAGUCAGUGCCUGCCAUCAUCGUGAGGUGUUGGCAUGAUGCAAAAGAAAAGGACAAAUCAGAUGGUUAUACUAUGAUAAAGGGAAACAAAAAGCAUGAACCCUAUUGCAAUACCAGCGUACUUUGAUUAACUUCACUGUGGUGCCGAUUAUUUGACAAAAAUAAAGGAUCCAGUGCUAAUAUUAUGAGUACUAAUCUCCAAUAGAAAUUCCAAAUUUUGUUAUAUGAAAGGCAUGUUUAACUUAAUAGUGUGUAUAGCUAACUCCAGCUGACACACUAAUCUGAAUAUAAUUUGCUUUUGUUUUGAGGUAUACCUCAAUGCAGUAGGGGAGGAUCAAAACUGCAUCAAACCAAAACAUCCAAUGCCGUGAUUCUGCAGCUGCAGUGCUGCACAUGAACUUUUUGAGCAUUACUAUCUUUCUGUGACUUAAUCAGAGUGUAUCAUAAAUCAACGCACUUGAAAAAUGGAUGCCAUCAGGGAGGACAAUAAUGGACAAAAUUUAUAUAAAAAAGAUAAACUCAAACAAAGUAAAACAUAACGAUAAAUUGAUCAGCUAUUGAUUUUCUUAUUCCCAUGCUAUCUUGACUCAAAAACUGCAGCCAAACUUUUGCAUUGUUGAAUGUUGAUUGGAAGUACCCUGCAGAAUUCUAGCCUAUAUAUCCAUCACACUGACGUAUGCAUAUCACAUAGGGACAACAGAAUAACUGGUUGGUAAAAUAAAACAGAGCAGGGGCAUCUGAAGAAGUGUUGCAAUAAAAUCAUAGCAGAGUAAAAGUUAUCUAAAGGUGUAUUGGGGCUAGAAUUAAACAUUUAAUCUUUGUAUGGAGUUGCUUUAGAAACUACAGAUGCUCAGUUAUGGUAUUCCAAUCCUAAAUCUGCAGCCGCAGAAUGUUCCAUGACCUUGAUGGAUAGGAAAGAGGCCGGCUACAACAACAAUCCCAACACAAGAUGGUGAAGGAUGCAAAAUCAGGACUUUACUUUGUCAUAUAGCAUCAUUUGUUGAAGAGAGGAACCAACUUACUGUGUUCCAAAAAUAGCUCUUCUCCAUCUAUGGUAUGCACAUAAAACAUGUUCUGAUGAUCAUGCUCGUGGAAACUACAAAAGGAGAAAAGAGCAAAUAAACAAAUAAUCAAAAGGCAGAUGAGAAAUGGAUUCAUCAGCAGGGAUCUUUAAACUACACACAGGGCCUUUAGAACAAUAACCUGCAGGAAUGGCAGAGUAAUCGGCAUCUACACGGCUAAUGGACUAACGAAAACAAUGGUGAACAGAAACGACACAUGAUUUGUGCAAUAACCACAAAGGAUUUACACGUGGUCUGAAAUUGUCGUAACGUUAUUAUACGUGUCCAGUUUUUUCUUUAUUUUUCAAGGAAAGGAACAUACUGUCUAUUUUCAAUGCAUUUUUUUGAACAUAUUUAAUUCUUCCAUUGGUUCCUUUUGCUGAAAGUUUAUCAAAGAUUUCAGAAUGCCUCUAGUUGGUCAUUGUGCUAAAUAUAUCCUAUAAGAACAGGCCAUCAACUCAAAGGGAAACCCUCAUGGGCAUCGAAGAAUACUAGGAUGAUCACCCGUGCAUGCCAUUACAUAAACUAAUGUGGUAACAAAAAAUUCCAAAGAAACCAUAUGCAUAAGAUCUUAUGUGGACAUGAAUCGACACUUGGUUAGUAGUUCUAGAUAUCUCUGUAUUCAAAAUCCUAUCAGAUGGGGUGAACUUCACCAGAAAUCUCUACAUUUGCCUAUGAAGACUUUUUUUUUUCUCUCGCUCCAUUCCUUGGCAUAUUAGACAAGUAGCUCAAAACUUCGAACCCAAAGCUUGGCAUUGUGUUACUGUCAUGACUGCUCAUGAUAUUUAGAGUAAUACCAUGAAAGUGAGCGGAAACAGAAAGGUGUACUAAUUUCAAUGAUACUGCUUUCUGCCUCUCGGACCUUAUUCUGAUCCCACAAAGAUCACUCUUACAUAUCAGGUCAUUGUCGUAUCCUUAUCAAUUAUCAUAGCUCCAAUCAGAUGAUUUCUACUCCCUCUGUUCCAAAUUAUAAGACAUUUUGGCUUUUCUAGAUACAUUGCUUUUACAAUGUAUCUAGACAUACUGUGUAUCUAGAUGCAUAUAAAAAAUUAUGCAUCUAGAGAAGCCAAAACAUCUUAUAAUUUGGAGUGGAGAGAGUAGUAACCAAUGUUGCCUAAUAUAAUCAAACAUGUUAACCAGCAGAUUGAAUAAAAGCAUACUUUUGUAAUGCAAGAAAUAGAUCACCUCAACUUUAUGGAAGUGCAAGCAGUCAAUAAGCUGGUUAGCAGAAAGCCAAGUUUACUUAUGUCAUCCAAGCCAUUAACAACUGUAGGAGGUCACCAAUCAACACAGAUUUGAAACCUGCAUAAAUUCAAGAAAAAAUGUAGGUGUAAAUAUUAUUAACGAAGCAUACCCCAGCUGCAAAACCCACAAAAGCUGAAUACAAUAACCAAUAAGUCCAGCAAGAGUUGUCUUUGGUCACCUAGAUGGCGGGGUAACGAUACUUACAGUGUAAAACAGUCUCAACCUCAUAUGCAUUUAGUUCAUUGGUGGUGCUUCAGUCCAUAAACCCUGAGUAACAAAAUGCCCAACACCUUUCUGUCCAGGGGUAGAGUAUAGCACAAGUAUACAUUUUUGGGUUUCAGCUUGUUAGCCAGUGUAAGUCAAGACAUCAAACUGUUCUUCUGAAACACCUACCAGUCAGGACAUCAAACUGUUCUUCUGAAACACCUGCAUUUGCUAUGAUCUCUUUAUGCACGAAACAACAUAUCUGGCCUAGCUGGAAGAUACUUCAGUUAGGACCCCUUCUUGCAACUGUAAAGUUCUGGGAGAAUCAUCUCAUUAGACUAUCGUAGGCAGUAAUAUAUUGACACUUCAUUUUUUCCCCUAAACCUUGAAAAGGGUCUCAAGUAAACGUCGAGCUUCCCAAGUCAUGUCCGGCCUUGAAAAUGCUCUGGACAUAGAACUGAUAGUGCCUUUGGAUGGUUUAAAUUCUACCUCUUUCAUAUCUUUGAGAAGUAUUCUUACCUCAGUUCCAUUUCUAAGCUUUGACCAUCCAUUCAAAAGGGUAUCAUAAGUUCAGGAAGCAUGUAAAACUCCUCUCCUUUUCAUCUCACUGAACAACUCUUUAUGCAUGAUGGCAUUUCUGGCCUAGCUGUAAGACACUCCAACAGUUAGAAACCCUUCUUGCAACUGUAAAGUUCUGGGAGAAUCAUCUCACUAGACCAUCCUAGGCAGAUAAUAAAUUGACACUUCAUCUUUUUCCCCUAAACCUUGAAAAGGGUCUUAAGUAAACGUCGAGCUUCCCCAGUCAUGCCCGGCCUUGAAAAUGCUCUGGACAUAGAACUGAUAGUGCCUUUAGAUGGUUUAAAUCCUAGCUCUUUCAUAUCUUUGAGAAGUAUUCUUACCUCAAUUCCAUUUCUAAGCUUUGACCAUCCAUUCAAAAGGAUAUCAUAAGUUGAUGAUGUGUGUAAAACUCCUCUCCUUUUCAUCUCACUGAACAAUUCUUUAGCUUGAUUCAUCAUUCCAGCUUUAGCAAAGUCACUCAUGAGUGAAUUAUACGUGCUUGCUUUGGGAAUAAAGCCUUUACUCACCAUCUCACAAUACAGCCUCAGUGCUUCAACUUUGUUGCUUUUCUUUGCAUAUCCUGUCACCAGUAUAUCAUAGGUGAGAUUAUUGGGCUCAAGGCCCACCUUCUUCAUAUCACUGAGAACAGUAUCCGCUUCGCCAAUUCUACCAGCAGACUCAAGGCCACCCAGAAGUGUGUUAAAUGUAGCUAUAUUAGGUGAGAGCCCUUGAUGAAGCAUCUGAGCAUAGAUUGCAAAUGCAUUAUCCAGAUGGCUGCUCUUACAAUGGCCAAGAAUGAGAGCAUUGAAUGUGAUAGUGUCUGGUGCAAUUCCUCUCGUCAACAUUUCAUCCAAAACAACUGUAGCAUUCCUUGCCAUUCCAUGGCAACACAAAACAUGCACGAGUGUAUUAUAGACAGUGAUAUCAGCAUGAAGACCAGCACCCAUCAUCAACUCAUGAAUUUCCAAAAUCACAUCUGGCCUCCGGCUUCCAGAACAUGCUUGCAGCACCCUUUGAUGAGUCAGAGAGGUCGGAGCGAAUCCAGCAGAAGCCAUCUCAUUUAGCAAAAAUUUUGCCUUUUUCACAACCCCGGCCUCAAGAAGGCCCACAACAAGUGUAGUAUAUGUGAUUAGAUUAGGCUUUAUUGAAUUCCGCUUCAUUUCUUUCAGUAGCUUUAGAGCUUUGGAGGUCUUUCCUUCCCUGCACCGUGCAGCAAUCAUAGUGUUAUAUGUUGCUUGAUCAGGUUCUAAGCCUGUAUUUCUCAUCUCUUUCAAAAAGGAUUUUGCUUCACUGAACUUGCCAAGCGUGCAAAGGCAAUUGAUAAACACAUUAUAGACAACAGCAUCAGGUGACAGGUUUUUCUCCAUCAACUCCUGACCAACCUUAAAAGCAGCUGGCAUGUUUCCUGUUUUAAAAAGCCCAUCCAUUAAGGUGGUAUAAUUGACAUGGUCAAGCAACAGACCACGUUCAUCCAUAUCUUUAAAUAAUGCUUCAGCUCCUUCUAUAUUCCCAUUCUUUCUCAAACCAUUCACCAGUGAGUCAACGACAAAGUUGUUUGCCUCAACACCCUCAUGCAACAUAUCACGGUACACAUCAAGAGCUGCUUCUUGCCCCUGGAACUUGAAGAAGCCAUCGAUAAGUGUUCCAUAAGUCACAACAUUAGGAGCAAUGCCACUGUCCUUCAUCUUCCUCAUAUAAUCAGCUGCUUUGCCGAGGCAUCCCCUUUUAACAAGACCAUUGAUGAUCGAUGAGAAUGUGACAACAUUCGGGAUAACAGAUUUCUCCUCCAUUUGCAACAACACCUGCUCUGCACCAUCGAUAUUGCCAGCUCUGCAGUGUGCAUCGACCAGUACAGUGUAAGUUACAAAGUUGGGAGUAAUAUUAUCCGACUGAGCAUGCCGAAGCACAUCCUUAGCUUCCUCAAUCUUCCCUUCCUUACCUAAACGGUCCAUCAGAGCUGUAUACAUGACCAGAUCCAUGACCACGCCCCUUGAAACCAUCUCUCCCAAUAGACCAAGUGACUCACUGCCCCUCCGCGCUUUCGCUAAUGAAUCAAUAAGCGUACAAUAGGUCACAUGGUUCGGCGCGACUCCGAUCUUGUCCAUCUCCCUGAAAAGCGCAUAUGCCUCUGAGAACUGGCCAUCCCUGCAGAGGCCAUCGACAAGAGCACUGAGCGUGACCACAUCAGGCAGCACACCCGACCUGACCAUCCCCUCGUACAAACUGAAUGCCUCGUCCAUCCCCUUCCCCUUACAAUACUCCCCGAUGAGGGCCGUGUACGUCACCACAUUCGGCUCCACCCCAUCCGCCUUCAUCCUCUCCACUACCUCCAGUGCAGCAUCAGCAUCGCCGGAGUGGAAGAACCCGGCAACCAAGGAAUUAUACCCCACCACGUCAAGCGCCACCCCUUGUGUUGUCAUCCUCUCCACCACCGCCAAAGCCGCGGCCAUGUCCUGGACUUUACAGUAGCCGUCAAUGAGAGCAUUCCAUCCCACCACAUCCAAUCCAUCAAUUCCUCGGCCUCGGACCAACAUCUCCGCCAAGGCCGCGGCCUCGCCGACCAGGCCGGUCCUACACAGCCCCACGAGCGCCGUGCUCACGGUGACCCCGUCCCAGGACACGCCGCGCUUGCACAUCUCCGAGAGCACAGGCGGCGCGAGCCUCCCGUGGCCCUGCUCGGAGAGGGCAGCGAGGAAGAUGUUGUAGCUGACGGUGUCAGCCGCGACCUGCGACUGCGACUGGGGCCCCGAGGAGGAACGGAGCAGGCUCAACGCGGGACGGAGCGAGCGGAGGCUACAGUAGGAGAGGAUGAUGGAGUUGAGGGUGAGGGUGUCACCUGGGACGGGGCGGAAGCAGACGGCGGCGGCGGCGAGGCCCGAGGAGGCGAGGGCGGGGAUGAGGCGGCGGAGGAGGCGUGCGGGAGGCGAGGCGGGGAGUGAGAAGACGACGUGGGAGGCGGCGGAGAAGCGGCCGGCCCGGAGGAAGGCGAGCGCGAGGGAGCAGAGGAAGGAGGCCUGGAGGGACGGGGCUAAGGCAUGAGGCGGAGAGGCCGCCAUGGUGGUGGUGGUCGGCGACGAGGGGGGUAGAGUGGGAGCGAGGAGAGGGGAGGGGAGGCCGGCGCGGCGCGGCGAGGUGCGGAGGAAGACCCGUUGGGCCGAGUCUGGUGGGCUUUAAAUGAUGUGGGGAAGACUUUCAGCCCACAGAGUUGUGCCACAGUCUCCCACUGGACUCUGUGAAUUGUCAUGAUUUGGCCGGGGUAAAAAGUUGAGCUUUCCUUCAAAUCCUUCGAUUCCUGCACAUCAUUGAAGCUAGCCUACCGAUCAUGUUGUUGAUUUCAAUCCCUUUUCAUGUCGUCAGGAGCAUUAUGUUGCUGUUUUGUGUGAGGACCGAAUGAAUUGCAGAUGGUGUGUGCCACUUACCAAGAGCCGGACAAAUCCUGAUGAGUGUAUUAGCUAGCACUCUUGUGUCCUGCAAGUUUUACCCAAGGCAAUGGGGUACUUUAACAAGCCUGAUAUGGUGUACAACGGUGUUGUCACCAAAAAAAAAACACUUCCAUGAUUUGAAUUGCCCAAUAAUUUAGCGAGAUGUUUGGAUGAGCAAAUCUCAUUGACACUCGCCGAGUUUUAUAAUUUAAUUCCUACCGACUGAUUUCUUCAGUGGUUAACCGUCGGUGUUCUUCUCGACGUCCUAGCUUGCCACUGCUCAUAUCCACAAAGAUUUAACGCCCUGCUGUACACAUAGCUUGUGGAGCUCGAUAUUACAUCUGUUUCAUAUGCGCUCUGCUCAAUAGUGAAUCAUACCUUGCAGCUGUACGAAGAAACGCGAAACGGUAUAUUUCAUUUCUGCAAAGAACAAGUGUGCGUGGGUACGCAAUCACUAGAGCGAAGAGAGGUUAGGCCACAAAUAACGUCAGCUAGCUGUUAUUAUUGGAGCUUCAUCUAACAGCCCCGACCGACCAGCGUACGUACAACCAUUUGAAAUAUAUAGAGGCACGGACAUCCACUAUGCAUGCAUUGAUUCUGUAGCGGAGGUCAUUCAAACUUCAUCCUUUUUGCACUUGCCCCCAUCCCAAUUGCUUCCUCCACCGCUCCCUAGCAGAAACAGACAUUUGACGUCAAAAUAUAAACAACUCUUUACCUACUCAAGGGUGUUUAUAUAUAUAUAUAUAUAUAUAUAUAUAUAUAUAUAUAUAUAGGUAGGUUGCAGCACAAAAUAUAAACGGCUCUUUCAUUCAAGAAUAAAAGUUUGCAACAACACCUUUGGAAGAAACAGGGCGUCGACGGCAAUUAUGGACAUAUAUAGUUUAUUAGGAAUACUGACAUAACGACAUCAUGCCAUGGUCAUCUCCAAGGCAAAGCCUACUGAAUUAAACUGUGGAGCUUCGAUUUCAGUGUUAAAAUUGUACUCCCACGUUGUACACGAGAUAGGUUCCUACACUUGUUUAAUUUGUAUAUUCAUGUACGGAACAGUCAUCUAAUCUUAAUGACAAGUUAAAACUGCAUGAGGGCUGACACCAAACAAAAGAGAAGUUUUUUUCCUCAUGUGGUCUGAUUGGGUUGAACACUAAAACCAACCAGAGGAGCAGGGUGCCUGAUAUAUAGAUGACAUUUCUUAAGACAAAACAUGCAUAAUUGCUGAUAUAUAUAAACACAUAUAUAUAGGACUGUCAUGUAAUACACGGAGCAUUAUGUAUAUGGGCCUUAAAAGAGAGUCAGUAAAUUUCUAGUUUUCUACUCUAAUAACUGGAUGUGUAGACAAACAGGAAUUCACAGCUAUACAAAUUAAAAAGCAUAAAAACGAUGCAUGCAUGGAAUUGGAAUUGAUAUAAAAAAAAACUAAAAUGUGUUGUAGUAUAUAUAUAGCAGUGGUAGUAUAUUCGUACGUACCUGGUGAUCCGUACUUUGAGCCCUACUGGCGCCGACCGCCGGGAGUGGGAAACACUGGCGGCAAGGAGGUAGCGCCAUCUCAGCAAUGGUCUGCUGGGGUGUUUUUGCUGGUGGGUGGCAGAGAUGACCCUGGCUUUGCGCGUGUUAACCUUAAGCAGGAGCUUCGCUCCCCUAAACCGGUAGCCUUCCACACACUUGUUUCCACAUCACCCGGAAUGACGAGGUAGACGACGUCAUGUGUUCUACCGUGCUUAGGAUAGGGAACAAUAAUGGCGGCGUGAUCUUCCGUGGCACGACGUCCUUCUUGUUGGAGAUAAACGUCGUCGUCUCAUCUGCCCAGCAGAGAUCUUCUAGAAGCAGCUUGGUUUCUGCCAUCCAGCUGCUAGCAGGGUCGUUGUUGUUGGAUGGGUUAUUAUCCAGGUCCAGGGUAUAGGUAACGAGCGACAUCGCGCCGCCGCCCUCCCUCUCCAUGGUGAGGAACUUGAUGGUGCCGCCGCCAACGCAGGCCGGCGGCGUUGCGGAACUCAAGCGGGUUCUUCUUCGACGACCACCGGGGGUUUUCGACGACGACGGAGCAGCCAUGGGGCAGCGGAACAAAGCACAUGUCCAGCGAGUCCGACGAGUCGACCUCGCAUUAUUGUCGUCCCGGGUCGCAGAGCAGCAACCCGUGGAGAAGAUCGACCCAGCAGAAGAGCCUCCUGCUCCUGGUUUCGACAGGGAAGGACAUGUGGAUCCUCCACGUCUGGAGCACCUCGGCGGGGAGCUCGCCGCGCUUGUAGACCCACGAGCAUAACCACGACUGCCACACGCAGAGCAUGCCCAGCGCAGGAAGCCCGCCGCGGCGGUGGAAGUCCCAGAGCAGCUCGGCGAGGACGAAGCUGGCGCCGCCGCCGCCGCCUUCGCGUGUCGUCGUCGUCGUCAUGAUGACGGUCCCGUAGCCGGCGCUGCUGUAAGAGUCAGCGUACUCGUAGUGGAUAGCGGGGAUCGAGGAGAGACAAGAGGCGGAUGCGUCGAGGUCCAGGAGCAAGUACCAUCGGUUGUACGAGUAGGCUGGGCGGUAGGAGCCGGAGGAGAGCACGACCAGGUUCUUGUCGGCGGCGGCGGCGACAGUACCGUCGCGGAGUUGCCAUCCGUGGUUUGCGAUCGGAGCGGAUGCCAGCGGUCGCUGCAUGGUGAGGCGGCUUACGUCCGGGGGCUCCACGACCUCCUCCAGAUCUGGCGUCAUGGACAGCAGGUACGUGGCGAUCGAUGCUAGCUUCCGUGGCUUCACGGCUUACUAAUAAUUCCGCCGUGCUGGUGCUGGUGCUGGCGCCGACGGUGACCUGCUGCACGCCCCCCUUUGCUAUUUUCUCUCCUAGAUCGAAGGGUUCUGUCUCUUGGGGAUGGCUGCGGAAGGCAACGGUGCGGUCGAGCAGGACGCAAGCGGCAGGGGCCAUGGCGGCGCGCUACGAUCGAUCGAUCGAUCAGGUCCAGGAAGCAAGAAUUGCCAACAAGCUAGAUCGAUGGCGGCGGAGACAAGGAAGAAUCGGCCGGCCGGCCGCGCGGGUAAUUUGUUUUAUUUGACAAAACAACGACAAGUAGGGUGCGGACUGCGGAUCGAUCGAUCGAGUUCAGCUAAGCGAUCGAUGGUCGUGCGUGGGAUGUUUGUGAUUGACGGUGGAUAUCUAUCUAUCUAUAUAUUAUAUGGGAUUAGAUUAGAUUGAACACGGUCGUCUUAAUUUGGUUCUUCUAUAUAUAUCCGCCAGAAAGGAUUCCCCAUCCCAUCACAGCUAAGCCAUCAAUCUCUCGGCCUGGGACGACCAGCAUCUCCGCCGCCGGCGCGGCAUCGCUGACAAGGCCAGGGGAUGAGAUGAGGAGGCGGAAGGCGAGGAGGAAGACGAAGACAAAGCCCCGUUUUGGGUCUUGGUGGGAGAAGUUUGUUGGGCUUUAGUUGCUCCUAAAUGAGAUUUUGACGGUGUCGUUAUCCUAAACGAUUUUCUUUUUAGGUAACAUACCAAGACGACAGUAUUUGUUUUUUUCAUUUAAAGGACAUGAAAUAGUUGCCACUUGAAUUUAAACCGAGUGUUCAACAAUGGCCAUAGAUAUCAACGGUGCUCAACCAUCUUGUUGUAGUUCCUUGACAUACAAGUUUGACAAAAUCCCCCACUUUUAGACCGCUCUUGGUGGCAUGCAUGGAGGACUGCUCCACGACAAGCAUGGUUGGGCUGGGCAGCCUCCCCCUGGUGGAGAUCCUCUCUCGUGUCCCUGCCAAGUCCAUCUGCCGAUUCAAGUGCGUCUCCAAGGCCUGGCCCGACCUCAUUGCCGACCGGAAGAAGCUGCUCCCACAAGCUAUAGGGCUGUUCAUCAUGACACCCAACAACUUCGAGGAGCAAGAACCUAUGGUGUGAUCAUUUCAAUUUCAGAAUCAUCGAUCUGACAGGUGGACUCAAACCUUUGGGCAUCGACCCUUCCUUCUUCUUCCUGCCUAGGAUUUGGAUCCAGAUCCUCGUCUUAAUGGAUUCCUGCAAUGGGCUUAUCCUCUUUGAGAAUCAGCCAGAGCCGUUCUCAGACGCAAUGAGGUACGUCGUGUACAACCCCAUCACACAGCAAUGGGAAGCAUUGCCCACCUGCGGCUGUCCUCAAUUGAUAACACACACAUAUAUGGCUUUUGAUCUGUUCGUUUCCUCCCACUUCCACUUGGUCCAGUUCUAGAUUCCCGAUUUGGAAAAGGAGUUGAUAUCUGUGUACACAUACUCAUCUGAAACUGGGACUUGGAGCCGCAACCAAAUUCUCCAACAAGAAGAGCAAGGACAAUUCAAAGGGUGGUGUCAAGUCAAGCUAGCUAAUGGGGACCCUUGGUGUGCCUUUGUUAAUGGCUUCCUGUUUUCGACAGUUCGAGACUCUGAUCAAAAUAAGAUAGCUGUUGUAGAUGUACAAGGAAAUGCAACAAGAAUGAUUGCAAUGUGAGAGGCUGCUCGAGGGGGUUUAUUUUGGCCAAUCCCAAGGGCGCUUGCAUUACAUGACCCAAAAACCAUUAGAUGAUGAUGAUGAUGAUGAUCAAGAGCUGUCCAUCUGGGUUCUUUAGGAUGAUACACAAGAAUUGGGUGUUGAAGGACACCAUGAGCUCUUUGUAGCUCUUUGGAGAAAAGAGUUGCACAUGUGGCAUUGAGGUGAUUGACAUUCAUCAAGAUUGCAAUACUUUUUUCUGCAUCCACUCCGUGAGCCAUAAACUUGUGGCAUACAACAUGGACCAUAGGGAAGUGAGUGUUAUUGGCACUUUCAAAUAUUUAGAUAAGUGGAUGGGUAUUGGUCAUAAGUUCCCUAUUUCUCAGAAUUACUAGCACUUCAAAGUAUGAGUUGCUUGCAACUUGGUUAAAUUCAUAGAACUCAGGUGACGUCCUUCUCAUUCUGUCAAGGGCGGUAGUGCCCAGGGUAGCUGGACCCCGACUACGCAGCUCGUAGUCGCGAUCCGUCGUCGCCGGCUGGGUUAUGCCCCCACGCCGUCGCCGCCUUCGUCAACUGGGUUAUGCCCCCGAGUUGCCAGCUUAGGAGUUAGAGGAAGAGAAUAGAUGGAUAAUACUUGAUUGAUUUCCUUUGAGUCCCUGAUUACAAUUUAUAUGGCCAGAGGCCCAACUAAAGGAGUAACAACCUCCUCAAUCUAAGGAACAGAAUCUCCUAAUUCCUUUCCUAGCCACUCACGGUGCUAACCCCCUGCGCGCCUGCCUACAUGACAGCUGAGCGCUCUAGGACGCGACGCACAUCACGGGCGCGGCGCCGUCUCACGUACGUGCGCCCGACCAUGACAUCUCCCUCUCCGUCGAGAGUCAGCUCGUCCUCGAGCUGGAAGGAGGGGAACCUGGUGCGGAAAGCGUCCGUGUCUUCCCACGUUGAAGAGGCAGCUGAGCAGUCCUUCCACUUGAUUAACACCUGGGGAACGCCACGGGCAAGACGGUAGCGUACUGCACGCUCAGGCUCCGGCUCGAUGGCGCCAUGACGAAGUGGAGGAAGCGGUGGCGUCUCAGCUGGCGGCUCGCCGUGGAACUUCUUGAGGAGGCUCACAUGAACAACAUCAUGGAUGCGAGCGCCCGUGGGCAGCGCGAGGCGAACAGCGACAUCAUUGAUGAGUUGCACCACGCGGUAGGGCCCCACGAAGCGGGGCUUGAGCUUGCCGCCCGCAGCCUGAGGAAGCGAGGACGCUGCCCGUUGCCGAAGACGAAGGAGUGCCCAGUCCCCGACCUGGUAACUGACGGAGCGGUGGUUGCGGUCGUAGUACAGCUUCUGCGAAGCUUGAGCCUGCUCCAGCCAGUAGCGUACAUCAGCCAAAAAUUCAUCCCGUUCCUCCAUUGUUUUGGCGACAGCUUGAACCCUGGUGUCGCCUGGUUCAUAAGAACGAAUGGAGGGCGGAUCCCGGCCAUACACCACCCUGAAGGGAGUGUCCCGCAAGGACGACUGAUAAGCUGUGUUGAACAGGUACUCUGCCCACGGCAGCCAUCUUACCCACUGGCGAGGCCGGUCACCCGUCAAGCAACGUAGGUACAUGACGAUGACACGGUUAGCUGACUCUGACUGCCCAUCGGACUGGGGGUGGAAUGCCGUGGUCAUCUGUAGUUUAGUGCCCAUCAGCCUCAUAAGCUCUUGCCAAACGGCCGACGUGAAGACCGUGUCCCUGUCCGACACGAUGGAUUGAGGAACGUCGUGGAGACGGACAAUGUCUGUGAAGAAGGCUUGAGCGACCGAUUCAACGGAGUACGGAUGUGCCAAAGGUAUGAAAUGACAGUAUUUGCUGAAUCUGUCCACCACGGUGAGGAUGACCGACUUCCCGCGGACGCGUGGGAGGGCUUCCACAAAAUCCAACACGAUGUCUGUCCACACGCCCUGCGGCACCGGCAGCGGAAGGAGCAGGCCUGCGGGCUGCAGGUGCUCGGACUUGUACUGUUGACACACCGCGCACGUGCGCACCAUGUCCUGCACCCGUUGCUUCAUGUUGGGGAAGUGGAAAUCGCGGCGGAGACGGUGCAGGGUGCGCUGAACGCCCUCAUGGCCGUCGGCAUGAAUCGCCCCCAGGAUCUCUUGGAGCAGUGGGGAGGCGGGUGGGAUAUAGAGCCGGCGGCCGAAGUGGACCAUGCCGUCGACGAGGGACCACGGCGCCGGGCGUGUCCUUGCUGUGAUCUCGGCGUGGAGGGCGACGAGGGCUGGGUCGUCCCGGUGUGCUUGACGUAGGCGAUCCACGAAAUCGAAGCGGGGGGCCGAAAGGGUGAGCAGCACCCCAUCCUCCGUGUCCCUCCUGGACAGCGCGUCUGCCACUGCGUUCGCGGCGCCGCGCUUGUACUCAACGGAGAAGUCGAAGCCCAGCAGCUUGCCAACCCAAUGGUGCUACGGAAUUGUGGCCAGGCGCUGAUCCAGCAGGUACUUGAGGCUGUAGUGAUCCGUCUUGACGCUGAAACGAUGUCCCCAGAGAUAUGGGCGCCAAUGUCGGACCGCUUGAACCAACCUGAUCAGUUCGCGCUCAUAGGCAGCAAGAGCGCGAUGUCGCGGCGCCACCGGCAGACUGAAGAAUGCGAUCGGAUGUCCGUCUUGCAGCAGCACCGCCCCAAAGCCGUGGGACGACGUGUCACACUCCACCACGAACGGCUUGGUGAAGUCGGGCAUGGCCAGCACCGGGGCGGCGGUCACCGCGGUCUUGAGGUCGUCGAACGCCGCAGCAGCUUCUGCGUUCUAGGACAAACCCUCUUUUUUGAGCAGGCUAGUGAGUGGUGCCGCCAUCGCGCCAUAGUUGUGGAUGAACUUGCGGUAGUACCCCGCCAAGCCGAGGAAACCCCGCACCGCCCACGCCGAGCGAGGCACCGGCCAGUCGCGUAUGGCCUGUACCUUGGUGGAGUCCAUGGCCACGCCAGCCGCCGAGAUCGUGUGACCGAGGUAGGCGACCGACGUGACCCCGAACUCACACUUAGAAUGCUUGACGAAGAGUACGUGGUGGCGGAGCUCACUGAGAACCCCGCGGAGGUGACAGAGAUGGUCGGCCCAGGACUUGCUGUAGAUCAAGAUAUCAUCAAAGAAAACGAGUACAAAGCGACGAAGAAAGGAACGCAGUACAUCGUUCAUGAGGGCCUGGAAUGUCGCCGGAGCGUUGCACAGCUCGAACGGCAUCACCAGGAACUCGUAAAGGCCGUCGUGGGUGCGGAACGCUGUUUUGUGGACGUCCUCCGGUCGCAUGCGCACCUGGUGGUACGUAGGUCAAGCUUGGAGAAGAACCGGGCACCAUGGAGCUCAUCAAGCAGCUCGUCGACGACGGGAAUUGGGUAGGCGUCCUUGACCGUGAUGGCGUUCAGCUCGCGGUAGUCGAUGCAGAAACGCCACGAUCCGUCCGCCUUUUUGACGAGGAGGACCGGGGACGAAAAGGCGGAGUCGCUGCGCCGUAUGAUGCCUUGUCGGAGCAUCGCGUCGCACUGCUUCUCCAGUUCGUCUUUGUGAGCAGCGUGGUAGCGGUACGGUCGGACCGCCACGGGGGCCGCGUCCGGCUUGAGGAUGAUGCGGUGGGAGCGGCCCCGUUCUGGUGGCAGAUUGCUUGGCGCGGCGAAAACGUCCUGGAAGUCGGCCAGGAGCGCGUCGAGGAGGGGUUCUGAGGCCUCAGCAGCAAGGAGGCGGGCGGGGGCCGGGGGAGCUGUGCCACGCCAGCAGAUGGACCUGCCCGCAUGCUGGAACGCCAUGGUGCCUGCCGCCAAGUUCCACGUGAUGUCCCCCAGGGGCGCCAUCCAGUUGGUGCCCAAGACCACGUCAUAACCUGCGAGGGGCAUAAUGAAGAGGUCGACCUGAAAUUCCAAGCCAUCGAUGAACACUGGCGUGGCGCGGAGCACCUUUGGACAGGCGAUGCGCUCGCCAUUUGCCACGGUAGCCGUCAGCCCAGGACGCGGCUCGAUGGUGAGUCCUGUGCGGCGGGCUGCCUCCUCCCCAAUGAAGCUGUGCGUGGAGCCGGUGUCGAUGAGUGCGAUGAACUCCGCAGCGCCCACUGUCACCCGGAGUUGGAUCGUGUUGGUGCCUGGCACGCCCGCCACUACGUGUAGGGAGAACACCGGAGCUUCCUCAGCUGCAGCGCCCUCGUCCAGCUCAACGCCGUCAAUGAAGAAUAUGCGGCGGCAGACGCGGUUGUGGCCGCGCGAGUAGGGUUCAUUGCAGUUGUAGCAGAGGCCUAGUCGGUGCCGUUCUGCUUGCUCCUCUGUCGAGAGCCGCCGCGGUGGAUUAGUGGCACCUCCUCUGUUCGGCGGCGCUGGCAGUGCUGGGACAGCGGCCGCCGGGGGCGCAGGCAGCGCGAGCGGAGCAGCAGGGGCUUGUCAGGGCGCCGGAAGCGGCGGGGGUGUGCGUGCUGCGGGACGAGCAGCAGCGACCGGCACCCGCUCGAGUUCCAUCAGUUCGAUCUGGCGGGCGAGGCUCAUGGCCGCCGGGAGUCUCCGGGUUAUGGAUGCGCACAGCGUGGCUCAAGGGCAGCAAGAGUCCCCCGGUGUAGAGCUGCACAAGUUGGGAUUCCUCCAGGCAACCGGCGCGUGGAAGAAGGGCUUGGAACCGAUUGGAGUACUCCUCAACGGUACCCGUGCGUCGGCAUUCAGCCAGCUCAAACAGCGGUGCCGAGCGUAGGGGCGGCCCGAAGCGCAGGUCGAGGAGGUCCUUGAAGCGUCCCAAGGACGGUGUUCCUUCGUCGUCUUGCAGCUGCAUGAACCAUAGCUGCGCGACGUCAUCCAGGUGGUAGGAUGCCAUCCAUACGCGUUCUUCUGCCAGCGUGCGGUGCUGGCGAAAAUAGGCGUCGCACUUGUUGAGGAACAGCAGCGGAUCGGUCGUCCCGUCGAAACGGGGGAAAUCCCAUCGCUUGUGCUUCGGGGGAUGAUCUGGAAGCGGACCCUCCGUGCGGUACUCGCCGCCGCCGCCGGAGAACGACGCGGACUUUUCCUUCUUCAUCACCGCCAUGUCGGCCUGCAUGGUGGCCAUAUCUGCGGAGAGAGUCUUCAAGGCCGCCAGGACAUCGGCCAGGGUUGGUUCGGCCAUGGUGGGUGCUGGUGCAGCCGAGAUGGGCGACUGCGGCGAGGUGGGUUGGUGGUGGGCAGGUGCGGCAGUGGAGGAUUGCGUGGAACGGGUGGGAGAGGAUCGACGAGACCUAGAUACCAGGUUGUCAAGGGCGGUAGUGCCCAGGGUAGCUGGACCCCGACUACGCAGCUCGUAGUCGCGAUGCGUCGUCGCCGGCUGGGUUAUGCCCCUACGCCGUCGCCGCCUUCGUCAACUGGGUUAUGCCCCCGAGUUGCCGGCUUAGGAGUUAGAGGAAGAGAAUAGAUGGAUAAUACUUGAUUGAUUUCCUUUGAGUCCCUGAUUACAAUUUAUAUGGCCAGAGGCCCAACUAAAGGAGUAACAACCUCCUCAAUCUAAGGAACAGAAUCUCCUAAUUCCUUUCCUAGCCACUCACGGUGCUAACCCCCUGCGCGCCUGCCUGCAUGGCAGCUGAGCGCUCCAGGACGCGACGCACAUCACGGGCGCGGCGCCGUCUCACGUACGUGCGCCCGACCAUGACACAUUCGUAGAAAAAGAUGAAGUCCUUCUCAUGCUUGGGUCUAACUAAUACAGAAAGCUUGUUGAGAUAUUUGUUGUAUUAUGCAUGUCAGGCUUCGAGAUUCAGUCAUUGGUGCCACAAAUUGGUCACUUAAGACAUGGACCAUAAGCUUGUUAUUGGCACUUUUAAAAAUCUAGACAGGCCAGUAGUUGCCUGUUAUGUUUCACAUUUCUCAAAAUCACUAGUGCUAACAAGCACUAAAAGUGUGUGCUCUAGGUUUGAGCUGCUAGCAACUCGUGCUUUGGUAUCCGAUCCAUGCAUAUAUAUAUCUUAGAUAUACGGAGUAGUAUCAUAUCCGCCGUCGGUGGGAUGGCCGAAUAAUAAUAGUCCCACCACCACCACCACUACUUAAUUGUUGAUGGACACGGCAAAGUAAUAUUUACUUCCUCCGUUCUAAACUAUAUAAGUCAUUUCAAAAAUUUCUAGACAUAUGUUUUUUAUCAUUGCUUUUUACAUCUAUUUACUUAGAAAAAACUACAUAACUAUUCAUAGUUUAAAAUGGAGAAAGUAUGUAUAUACAUCCACACACAAUUUAAUAAGCAUAAUGAAAACUUGUGGAAUGCAAGAAGAAAUCUGUAGGUUUUAUCAGCGAGCUGCCAGUGGCCGGUUGAACAUACUCCGUAGAUGAUACUCCCUUAAUCCUAGAUUAUAAGACAUUUCAAGAAUUUUGGAGUGUCAAUCUUAAAUUUGAUCAAAAUUAUAAAAAACAAUAUAAAAAUUUGUGACAUCAAAUAAAUAUACUAUGAAAAUAUAAUUAAUAAAAAACCUAUUGAUACUUAGUUAGUAUCAUAAAUAUUAUUAUAUUAUUAUAUAUAAAUUUGGUCAAACUUAAAAUACUUUGAUUCUCUAAAUUUUUUGAAAUGUCUUAUAACUUGUGACGGAGGGAGUCUUGUUGAUCUCUCUCUUUGCAAAAGGAAUAGUUCAAGGCCAUAGAUGCUCGCAUGGAUGCAUGCUCUGUCCGUAUAUGUUUGCUAGAUAUUUAAAUUUUAACUAGCAAAAUAUGCCCGUGCGUUGCUACGGGAGCAAACAAACGUUUGUAGAAAAUAAGCACUUUAUUAGAUUUAUUUAUGUUUUAUCCUUUGUAUUAAAUUUGAUAAUUUUUAAGCUUUUAAAACUAACUUUGAAGCAGACUGUCCAUAUAUAGUUUAUAUACAUGCUCUUAAACUUUUUAGGAUUUUUUAUUUCACGCGCAAUGACACCUUACACUCUCUGAUUGAAAGGAGCCUAACAUACUUUUGAAUUAUAAUUUCUAGAUUUAAUUUUGAUUUUAUAUAGAUUGUAUAAGUUUCUGUCACUUUAUGCAUUAUUUGUACAAAGACAAGAAGCUAACAUUUAUUGGGAAGCCGAAGUCUAUAUAAAUUUUGAGACUGAUUUUUACUAUUCAUUUAUUAUAUAUAUUAUACUUGUUUGCAGUUUUUUCAUCUUAAACCCUACGAACAAGUAAAAGGUCUAGCGAUUUUGAUUUACAUGCACCUUGUAAAUACACAGAUGAGUUUACCACGAUCAUAGUAGGCCAAUGGCUUUUAUAGAACAUGUCUCUGUGCUAUCGGAACUCGAUGUGAACUCGUCUUGGACUCCUAAUCUUGGUCAUGUGCACAGAUGGUGAUUGGGCCCAUGAAGACAUAUACACACGAGUAACCUAGAGGCACACAGACACCAUGACUUUUCUUUUUUACCGAUGUGAACUCGUCUUGGAGUCUUGGUGGUUGGGCCCAUAGAGGAGACGUGUACAACAUUAACCUGGACUCCUGAGAGGCACGCACACGAUGUUUGGUUGGAUAAAAGCUAUACAUGUUUUUUAGGUAUUUGUAAUCAUAGUCCUAUACGGACACUGGAAGUUUAAAGAACCUCAUACCUAGUCGACGGGUGGACAGAAAGAUAUGGUGAACUAAAAUUUUCACAAUUUAUAUUUAUUCCUGUGUUUUUCCUCCAAAUCUGCAUUCAAAGAAAAAAUUCCUACAUUAUUCUCGUGCUCCAUUCACAUAAACCAAAAGCAUAAACAGUAAUAAAUCCCAUAGGAUUCUUAAUCCCAUGAACCAAAAGGAGGCCUUGAUCAGAUGGUUUCAAUUGUUGAAGAGUGUAAUCUAAAAAAAUGUUUUUCUAAUUGAUGAAGGCAAAUUAGACUCACGAACCAUAGGUGAGGGGAAAAGCCACCGAGCCCAGCAACGUGCAAGCCCACGGCGCGGCCUCACCUUUGCGGAAGGUGCGCGGCUUGUCUUUUGCAGUAGUGCCGCGUGGCGUGCGCCCAAGCUCGGGACGCCGACGUUUUCGUCCGACGGCCCAACUCGAGUUCAGCAACCCAGGACUUAUCGUCCGAGUUGGUUCCAAGUCGGUUAGUAUAUUUUAUAGAUGGCCACGCAGCCUGAGGCACGACGGCCCGGCCCACGGCACGACAUUUUGGCCCGAUCCGAGCACGGCACGGCACGGUAACUCGUGGGCUGCGGGCCGUGCUUGGGCCGACCUCUAAGCCCGCGGGCUGGCCCGGCCCGGCUCGAGUUUUAGGGGUUGGCCCGGUAACGGCCCGGUACCACCUCCACGGGCAUUGCACAAACAACUUUAUUUUUAUGUUACAUGUUUUUUGAUGUUAUUUCUAUGAUUUAAGACUGAGAUUGUGAAUCUGAGAAGUUGAGAGUUGUAAAAAAUUGAUUGUGACAUUAUGUUGGUGAAGUGAUCAUUGUCAUUGUGUGGUUAUUUUGUUUUUUUUACAAAACCGGGCUACGCGGGCCGGCACGGCACGAAGUCAGCCCGUGGGCCCGUGCUUGGGCCGAAGGGCAGGCACGCGGGCUGCUGAGGCACGGCACGGCAGGCACGCGGGCCAAAUUGGCACGGCACGCUACAGCCCGUGCCCAGCUCGGGCCCGGGCCGGGCCGGCCCGGCCCGGUGGCCAUCUAUAGUAUAUUUCGAUUCUGAGAAGGAUUAUUCUGCCGAUUCCGGGCGACAGAAGAUCGGCAGGACCGAUGGGAGCGGCAGAAAAAAAAUUUGGCAGACUGAAAUUUUCACAAUUUAGUAGUAGGGACGUGAAUCACUGUGGGAGAUGCUGUUGGGCUUUGCUUGCUCCUAGAUGGGCCCAGCUAGUGUUAAGAAAUGACAGCCCAAAAUGCGUUUGGUGUUUAACGCCGUCGACGCACGCGCCGCAGCAAAGUUACAAGUCGAGAAAAGCAGCAUGCGUUCAACUUCUCUUAUCUGGGAAUUAAUGGAAAAGGAAACAAGAAAGAAAACGUCCAACUAUGGACUCAUAUGCCCAGCCAUCAACUAUAUGACUGGCAUUUGAGAAAACUUUCAAAAAGGUGUACUAGCAUUUUGGAUGAAAAAUCAUCAUCAGCAUGUGUACAAGUUGCUUUUUUCCCCCCUCUACUACUUGCCAUGUGCUUUAAACCUGUGUUUAUACAAUGAUACAUAUAAAAGUACUGCGCGUCUAAUUGAUUUUUUGCAUUAAUUUUAAUGUUUGGUUGUUCUUUGCAUGAAAGCAGUAUUUGAUAAAGUUAUUAUGUUUGGUUAUUUUUGUACUUUUGUUGCAUGUAGUUACUUCUAUGUUUUAGUUAAGGUCUCAUAUUUCUUGUAUAGGUAUGUGAUGAGUGAUGACAAUAUUUCAUUUUAUGUAACGUAUUGCGCGCUUGUAUAAAUUUUUAUUGUCUGAUACUAUCAAAUCUAACGUACUAGCUAAUGUAACAUUAUAUUGUUGGAUCUCCUUUAUUUGAGCACCGUACAAGUCUGCAUAAGAGCCUAUGAAGACAACCAAUCAUGAAUAAACUAUAUCGCGCAAAACUAAAUAUAGGCUAAAUACAUAUGGAAUCAAUCAGAUCAUAUAUACAUGUUGCCACAUUAAACUGGCAUAUAUGUCACAGAGAUGCCUCAAGAAUUAUCAUAAAUUUUGAUUUUUAUGAGGUGUGCACUCUAACAUAUAUAGACUUUCAGAAGAAAUUAAGGCAUGCAUUGAGCACUGCGUGUGCCUUUUCAAACACGAGAGAGAGAGAAAGAGAGGCUCUUACUUUAAUUUUUUUAUGAAACCCAGUAUAAAUACUGAAACACACAUAUACCUAUUUUUGAGUUAUAUUAUAUAGAGAGAAUCGGAUUGCUCGUGCGAAUGAUUUUCUUGUUGAUUGCAUUGGUCGUGUAUGUAGAAGGGAGAAUAUGUACUCCCUCCAUCCUAAAAAGACCGAUGUUUUUGACUUUGAGACAUCAGGUUUGACCACUCAUCCUAUUCAAAAAUUUUAUGUAAAUUAUAAAAUAAAUAAAUCAUGAUUGCAGUAUCUCUAAUGAUUAAACAAGUCAUAUCAAAAUGGAUGAUAUUUAUUAAAAAAUUUAAUAAAAUAAAUAGUUAAAUAAGAUGUCUGAAAAUGAAGGAAGUACCAGACAAUUAUUAAAAUGAAAGGUAUAGUGUGCUGGUCCUAUAUUAUACUAUAUACACAUAGAUUAUAUAUAGAUAGCCGGCCAUGCAAGUGUACAUGCAUACUCACGCGGUAAUAACUUUGCGGGGCUAGCUAGGGGGGGUGGAGGAAAUAAGUAAAAUGUGCAACUCGUGUGCUUUGGCACCCGAUCCUAUCCAUGCAUAUAUCAUCGCGUAUCCGCCGUCGGUGGGAUGGCCGAAUAAUAAUCCCACGACCACCACCAGUCCACCACCAUCAGAUAUGAUUGAUGGACACGGCAAACUAACAUUUACUUCAUCCGUUUUGUUUGUUUUAUAAGCUGUAUUUUUUUAAUAGCUAGCAGUAUUUUUUUCUCACAAUAAAUCAGUAAAUAAUAUUUUAAAUAACAUAUCUUUUUAUCAUUACUAAAUAAAUCUAUUUACUUAGAAAAGCACGUACCUGAGUCCUGACUCCUGUGGGCUGUGGGGUAGUGGUAUAGAACUGAUACUUUGUCAUGUCUUUGUUAUACUUUCCUACUGCGUAGAGAAAACAGCCAAGUUUCUCUUUAUUUGUGUCAAAACAGCUAGCAGCUAUAUCCAAAACGACGGUGAGCUUAGGUUCUAUCCAAUAGCAAACGAAAGCCGGCCAUCCAGUCUCUGUCCGCCGUCUCCACAUGACCACAUGGCAAACAUUGUUGACAAUUACCAAAAGCAAGAAAGCAAUGGAUGCCAGCACAGCGCACGCAGACCAUGUUGCAUUCUACUCCAAUUAAUUAACCCUCUCGAUAUCCAUUAUAUUACAAAAGUUGAUGAAAUAAGCAACAAACACGGUGCAAGAAAUUGUAUACACACAUACUCCGCCUUUGUUCGCACGCAAAAUCAGUUGAAUUCAGGUUUAAAUUGUUGAUGUGCCGCUGGCACAGUCUUUCGAAUGUGCUCAUGAGGGAAAGCUUUGCAUACGUGUAUUAUAUUCAUAGAGGGUGAGUGUGCGUAUAUGUUAAACGUCUACACUUGUAUGAUUCGCAAAAAGAAAAAUUUUGUUGCUUUCCUCGAAACCAACUAGCCUGAUUUUGAAACUUUCUAAAACAUAUGGAUCAAAUUUUACCAAUGAGUUCCUCUUAUCAAGAGGAUCACAUCAAGAUACAUACAUAAAACAUCUAAUUUUUGCAUAAGCGACUAUUACAUCUACGAGAAGAUCCACACCCAUGAAAUCGCCCAAACCAGUUUUGUUAGCCUAGAACCAGACUAGAGUUGUAUUUUGCGACGAAUUUGUAAGGGGUUUUUUAGACCUAAUAAUAGGAAAGUUUUUGCGACGAAUUCGUAGGGGGGUUUGAGACCUAAUAAUAGGAAGGUAAGCUUAUGACUGUUGGGUGAAAGUUUGAGAAGUAAAGCAAUCACACAAACAUGGCAAGUUGAACACAAAUAUAAAAGUUAUAUUCAUUCCAUGAUCGUACAGUAUGUGUGAGAGGGGGCAUUUAUAGGACCCUAACCUUCAUACAUUAUGCAAAAAUGACUAUUUUACCCUGACUAAAAUGUUUACAACCCUUUUUAGCUACAAGGGUGAAGUGGCAAUUUUCAUCUAUUUCAGUCUAUUUCUUUUUUGUUCGAUCUUCAUUAUUCUAUCAAACUUAGUCUUCUAACUUAGCCGUUUUCUGCUCCGCUUUUCUUCUACUUCGCCCGUAGGCGAAGUUGAUUUCUUGACAACAAAGCUGAAACUUCUCUUCGCUCUGGUCUUGAUUUCUUUGAUGUUCUGAACUUCUCUUAUAUAGCGAAGUUGAAUUUCUUCAUGUGAAGUCGAAAAAGAUGUCUUCACCCUUCUUUUCCCUGCAAUCAAAUUCUAUUAGGUGAUUUUAAGCAUUUCUAGUUCCCAAAGUUUGGGACCACUUUCUAAGGUGAAGUUAAAUUCGUAAUGAUGACAUUGUACAAUUCUUUUUUGUGUGCGUAACUUAUAUGUUUUCUAACUAAUAAAUACUUUAAAAGGUAUAUUGUUUUUUUACUUAUCUACUAAAUCUUAUCAUAAAUGCCCUGCUUGAUAAAAUGAGAUAGUAGCUCUGAAAAAAUAAAAUGAAUUAACUCCUUGCCCCCCUCUUCAGUUAUGGUUUGCAUGACUACACUUGUACCUACUUCAAUCUACAUAUGUUUGAGUAGAAAUUAGUUUGAUUUCCAUAUAAUCCAUUUCAAUGUAUGUCCAAACAUAGACAUGUACAAUAUAUUUAUUUGGGGGUAUUGCGUUUUUAUCCUUGUUUUGUAUUGAAAUUGUGGUUCUACCUCUGUUUUUUUUUAACUUUGUGAGUUUACCUCUGCUUUAAUUUUUCACAACGAAGCACCACUUUACCUCUAUUCCGUCAUCUUCCCCGAACGGUGUUAACUUUUAUACAAAAGGAUAAAUAUACACAUGCAAUUUUGCACCUGUUUAUAAAUCUAUUGUGAUUUUACCAUUGCUUUAAAUAAGACAUUUAUAUUGUAUAUAACAAAAAAUGGUUAGAUUUGACCAAAAUUUUGGCACAAAUCGCAAUUAUUGUUAAUCAGAUUCAAUCCAUCGACGUUCAGAGAUAACAACAACACCAUUGUCAAGAAGAGAGAAUCCUUCUGAAAUGAUCUCAGCCAAGCAUAUCUCCUUCUCGUGCAACACAGCAACAGGGACUCCACCAAGCAGUCAAGAAUUCCUUGUUCGUUUGUUCAGAGGACGACGACGGCAGGUGCACGGACAUCGUGCCGUACAGGUACCAGCAGCACCAGGGCCACAUCCAUGUGCUCGGGAAUGCUGCUAGCCAUGACAGCAAGCACAUGUGGUCUAGAUAGAGCAGCAAUCGAUCGAUCUCCAGGAGCCGUACGCGUCGUACUGCAGCGAUGGGCUGUCGACGACCGCGCCCGACCAUGGUUCUGCUUCUCCCUCUCGUUGGACGAGCAAGAGCCAAGAGGAUGAAGAUAAGGGGCAAUUUGGCCUUUUCAUCUUUACGAGUAUGUUCGUUUAAACUUAUCUGCUGAAAUUUUAGUCUUGUUUUUUUCUCUCACAACAAAUCAAGAAACGGUAUUUUUAACUAUGCCUUUUCAUACAAGCGAACAUGUUUGGGUUUUGAUUUAUUUUAAUUUAUUUAUUUGAGUCAAUCUAAGGAUGUGCAAAGCAGGGCAAACGGAUGAUUCAUUUCAAAACACAAGGGAAAAUCACGAAGUAAAAAAAAAAAAACAAGGACAAAAUCACAAUUGGACUACUAGACAGAGUCAAGAACACUAAUUUCCCUGUUUAGUUUAUAUAAUACUUAAUUCAUUUAAAUUAUAAAACAUUUGACUUUUUUGACACCAAAUUUGAUUACUUAUUAAAAAUUUGUACAAAAUAUUAGUGUCGUGGCUUAAAUUUGAUGUUUGUACAUAUUUUUGGAAUAAGACGAGUGGUUAAACUUGAGGUUAAAAAAGUCAAACGUUAAUUGAGAAUAAAAGAAGUUUAUACGUAGCACCUAGAUUUCUUUUUAAGAGAAAUACGAGCACACAACGCAUGCAUUAAAUUAAGGCCUGUUUGGUAGGCCAACUUAUUCAUUUAUCAGCAGAAUUUAUCAGCUAUUUAACAUUGUUUUUAUCACAAUAAAUUAGUAAAUAGUAUUUUCAGUCAUAGACAAGCUAACAGGGUUUUUUUUGCUUUAGUUCCACAAAAGGCUUCACUGGUGGAGUUAAAGCCGUUUUAGAAAAAGGGUUUGGCAAAAUGGUUUCACCUAAAUGUCCAAGAUACCCUUGUGCAGGCACGUAUAUAGUAACGUUUGCAGAUGUAUGUUUCAAUAUGUUUUUUCAUCCGAGUAAAUUAGAGUUUAAAAUUUGAAAUUCAAAAGUAAAUAAUAAAAGAAUAACACAAGGAAUUCGUAACCAAUAGAAUGGAUGGCUCCGAAAGCGAUGGAUGAAUGAAUUUGUAGAGAGAGAGAGAAGAAUCACGCUCCGUCCAAUCCAGAAACGGAAAGAGAGCCGGAAAGCGACGGCAACAAUCGAUCCACGUGUGGCCGCAGUCCUCUCGCUUGGAAUCGGCGGGUGGGUCCGGGCGGUGCGGUCCAGCCGGAAAAAAAAAAAAAGUGCACUGCAGCAGGCAGCAGGUCGGUACGGACGACCAAGCUAUAGCUAGAGAGGCGCGCCGUUGUUUCUUGUUUCGUUGACCCAGCGGCGAGUCUCCAUCCAUAUCCAUCCGUCGGAUUGGAUGAAGUCCAUCGUCGCCACCAGGUCAGUCAGGUGCCACCGCCAGCCAAUGCCGGCCAUGCACAGGCAGUGCAGGUCACCAUCCACUCCUCACCAAGCUCAAAAUUGUAUGACGCCAUGUUUAGUUCACUAACAACCAAAAUUUUUUAAGAUUUUCUGUCACAUCAAAUUUUGCGGCACAUGCAUGAAGCAUUAAAUAUAGACGAAAACAAAAACUAAUCACACAGUUUGCCUGUAAAUCACGAGACGAAUCUUUUGACCCUAGUUAGUCUAUGAUUGGAUAAUAUUUACCAUAAACAAACGAAAGUGUUAUAGUAGCGAAAUCCAAAAAAUUUUCACAUCUAAACAAGGCCUGAGUAAAUUAUUGAGGCGGUUCUUAAAGUAUUGAAUGGUUUUUAUUUGGAUCCCCAAACUAUAAAAUCACACAUUUAGCUUUCUAAUGUAUUUAACUUAUUUCAUCUAAAUCCAAAACACACGCAACAAGAAUUAGAAGUUGAAGUGGUUGUUCAUAUGGAUUUGAUUUAAGCACAACACCCCUAAGUUGAGAGUCCCAAAUUACCUAAUGUGACAACGUCCACUUGUCAUGGUUAGUAGUGGCGUCUGCAGUGGUGUGCGGCUGGAGGUGCUGCUGCUGGUGCAUAGCCCCCACCGUGUGUGGGUGAGCGCAACACUAGAUGACCACAAACCAAGUCUCUCCUCACAUAUCUACCUCACUCUACUCAAUAGCGUAACCGGCUGUCAUUGCCGCCUAUAUAACCGGGUUGUAUGCCACGUGCGCCGUGAUGGUGAGCAGGGGCGGGCCGGCGACCGUACGCAUGAGCUUAAAUUAGAGGUCAUGUGCUUAAAUCAUAUCCACGUGGAUGACCACAUCAGUUUCUAACCCUCCUUAUGUGUAUUUUAGACCUCAUGGAAUCACUUAAAUAUAUUAGUAGUCAGACGUGCGAUUUCGUAGUUUAAAGACCCAGAUAAAAACCACGUAAUAUUUUAAGGAUCGGUCGUGUAAUUUACUCUUAUUUACUUGUCCCAGUUUCUAGAGAGAAGCUAUAAUUAGACUAUCUUCAGUGUAGGCUGCAUGACUAAAUUUUUAACACAUUUAUAUUUUGAAAACACUUCUCGACUCUUAAGUUUUUAGAAAGAGUUUCAUGAGAAAAAAAUUUUUUUAUACUUCUUCCAAAAUAUAAAUAUAUUAAAAAUUGAGCUACGAAACUUGCACCCAAGAUGAGACUUUACUGACGGCGCGGCACCCAGAUGACGCUCGGGCGCCGGAAUGCAGGGAAUGGCCGGCGGUGGACUAAUGAGUGUACUCCUACCUACGCGUGGACCGCCGGCCGCUGGUCAAUAUAUAGGCCGGAAUAUACUGUAUAGGAGUAUUGUACCCCACGUCGCCUCCUCCCUACAGGAAACCACUGUUUUGCUACACGCCUACGUACACCCUAAUACUAAUACAGUACUCCUCUGUCCCAAAAUGCUUUCCGAGAAAUAAGUUUAACUAAAUAUAUAAUAAAAAAUAUUAAUAUUUAUAGUACAUAAUUAGUAUCAUUGGAAAGAUCUUUAAGUCUAGUUUUUUAACAAAUUUAUUUAGAUAUACAAAUAUUACACGUAUUUUCUAUAAAUCGAGUCAAACUUAUUACACGAAAACCUAAACGAGACUUUUUUUUGGUACGGAGGGAGUACUACUCUAUAGCUGAGUUUACGCUAUCACCAAGAAUUUCAUUAUUUAUUAUUUAUUUAUUAUGUGUUGGACAGCGGCUCCGCGAUAAACAAAAAAAAAAAUAUAUAAAACAGUACCUUUCAAGGAAAUGACAAAAAUGAAGAUCUCAUGCAUGCAUCCGGCUAGGCCGUCUACGUAUGUCCAAAUGGAAGCCAAUUUUUUCCCCCGCGCAUAGACGAACGUACUACUCUCAAUAUACGUACGUACCCCUUAUAUCAAUAUAUAGUACGUGAAUUUUAUUAGAUAUCUGCCCAUACUCAGAUUUCGUCCAUUUAUUUAUUAUCUAGGUAUACAUGGUAUAUAUGUGCAGAAGCUGGCUAAGAUUUGAGCAUCACCAUUAGUUUCUAAAAAACACUUGGUUAUUAAUAAGUUUUUUUAAAAAAAAAUAUCUAAAAACUUUCAAAGAACAUUUGUUAGCUUUUUUCAACUGUUUCUAAAAUCUCGCUCGAACCAUUUGCCUACUAUCUAUUGUACGUCAUUGUUCUCCACUCAUGGAGCUUAGCUAGCUAUUUGUGGAUUCGUGUCUCUCGUGUCAAUUACAUUAUAUUAUUAAUUUGUUAUCUAGCGCUCAUUGCAUGCUGGGGUAGACUUUAGUUUCUUUCCUUUUUUUGAAAAAAAAAUGCAUGAUUAUUCCAACUUAAUUUGAUUUAUCACUUCAUUCCACUUGUUGGGGCCUCUUGUCGAACACGAGCUUUUUUUUUAGCUAUUCUUAUGUUUUUUUUCUAAAAUUUCUGCAUGCAUGAUUCUUUCGAAAUACUCUAUCUGCAUUCCAACGGUGCUUAUUGGAGGGGAGUUGAAAACCGCUCCCAAGACGAAUACCGCUGCGGCGCUGCCAAGACAAGGAGAAUAAAUGACACACACUAGUAGUUACUCCCUCUGUCCACGAAAGAAUCAAUUCCUAGGAUCUAUGUCAGUCAAACUUUUUAAAACUUUAUAGAAAAGAGUAACAACAUCUAUAAUAUAAAAUGCACAUGGGUGACAGAGGGAGUAGAUACGCCCUAAAAAUUGACUCUGACACACACUACUAGUAGUUACGCCCUAAAAAUUGACUCUUUCGUGGACGAAGGGAGUAGAUAAUAAUUAGGACAGCUAACAACGGAAUCGCUUUUGGAAAUUAAAGCCAAGACUUUGGGUAGUAAUUAGUACUAGUAGUAAUUGAGCACGAGUCGUUGUGGAAAAACUAACGAACGAUGCUUCCUUCCUUCGAUCCAUGCAUAUGGGUGACAGCUAGCUGCGUGCUGAAUACUUCCUCCGUCUAAUAUAAUGUAUUAUAGCAUUUAACAUUUAUCCUCAAAUAGUAUAAUGUAUUUUAUAGAACAAAAAAAAUUAUGUUAAAUAUUUCCCAUUUAGUAUAUGUGUCUUUUUAUAUUUCCUUUUAAUUUGUUUUAAAAUUUCUGACGUGCAUUGUAUUACAAGACUGACGGAGUACUUUACUUAAUUAGAGGCAUGAAUGGAGCUAGAAAAACGAAGUGCGGCAAGCAUCUGGAAAAAAUACAUAGACGGUCGACGACGGUUAGUUAUUCUCGCCGAAUCUGAAUAUAAUCGUCGCGAGUACUAUAUAUAAUCAUCAUUUAAUUUAGUGAUGAGAGAGGUGAGUUGUGCUAACCUUGCAUGCAUUGCACACCCCUUAAAUAUAUUACUAGUAAAAGUUUAGAAUUUGUUCCGAUAACAGGUAACAAUGCAAAUUAAUUGGGGGCGUGCCAAGAAGUUGACUUAUAUCUCGACAUGGAUGAAAAGUAGAGCGACUUGCCCACUAGUACGCACGCUAGCUAGACAACUUAUUAUUAGGGCGUUUACAACAGUUAGCUAUUUGGCUAGCUAGAUCUAAUAUAACAAAAAAAAAGUAGAAGAAAAAGUAGUUACUAGCGACUUUUAAUUUGAAUGCUUAGAAAUGUGAUCCUUGCCUGGCGUUGCCUUUACUAUGCUUGCAUGGGAGGCUGUUUUCAUUUUCCGUGAGGAAAAAAAUGUCGAUAUAUACAUAGCAGGGUGCAUUUGUUGGUACGUGUGCGUGUUGGAUUAUUUAUGCAACUGUAAGUUGUGCAACAAUAUUACAAUAUAAGGUUAAAGGGUUGUUGUUUAUUUUUAAUUUUUUUUAUCUGAAAAUAAUUACAAAUAUAGGUGAAGUUACAAGCUGGGUCUGAACCUAAAAACUGUAGCACUUUCGUUUAUAUUUGACAAAUAUUGUCCAAUCAAGGACUAACUAGGCUCAAAAGAUUCGUCUCGUCAAUUCCGACCAAACUAUGCAAUUAGUUUUUAUUUUCAUCUAUAUUUAAUACUCCAUGCAUGUGUCCAAAGAUUCGAUAUGACGAGAAAUCUGAAAAAUUUUGUAAAUUUUUUUUUGAACUAAUCAAGGCACGGCCUCAGUGUACUAGACAGUUACACUCUUUUUUUCUAGGACACGUGUACGGUAAUUGAGCACAAGUAUAAAGAAAAAAGAAAAGCUAUGAGCAAGUACAAUAAUGGGCUUAAAGCCAGGCUAAUGCUGAUGUGGAGGAUAGAAGAGAGGAGAGAGAUGAUAGCUUGGCUCUUAGAGCAAGGUCAAUAAUAGAGCCAAGUGCUUGGCUAUAAGCCAAAUAAUUAGAGCCAAGUUAUACAAUAAGUUGUCUCCUACUUGUCUCUAAAACACAUUCUCUUUCUUCUUUCUUCUCACAACAUUUGCUUUUUGGGCCCACUACUACCUAUGCAUCCGUGCCCAGCUUGGUGCUUAACUAAUUGUAAGUACUGUACACAGCAGGCGCGCGGCAAAUAUAAUAAUCCUUUAUUUAUGCUGUACUACAUAUAUAAUAUAUCCUCGCCUUUUUGACUAUGUGUUAACUGUAAAGGCCGGCUUUUGCACACGGCGCCCUUUACUUUUCGGUUUUGUAUGUAUAAAAUCGAAGGUUAGCUUUAUCAUUAAUUAAUAAAUAUACAAGUACCAUCAGACUAAUCAUCAGUAGUAAUAGUACGUAGGUAACAUAAGAGAUGAAGAAAGUGAGUCAGUCUGAAACAGGGCGGAGACGAUGCAGCAUUUCGGCCAGCAGCAGCAGAUCAUGUUGAUUCUGUUGAUGGCGACGAGGUAGCUAGGGUGAUGAUUUGAUUUUGACCGGUCGUGCAUGGGCCCUUUAGUUAGUACGAGUAAUGUUUUGCUUCCAUUGAGGGAGCUAGCUGGCUAGCUGUCCAUGCACGGAACGGAGCGGAGCGGAGCCGAGCCGCGUCCUGCGCCGUGCCGCGCGUCGCUACGAGUUGCAGUCUGACCAGGCCAGCAGUUGGUUGCUCUCGCUCGCUCGAGAUCGGUCAAACAGGCCCACACGGACGAGACGACCGCCGCACCAUGCACCCAUCUCCAUCAUCUCAUUCCUUCCUAGCUAGCUAGCUAGCUUCUCCGACCUCCGUCCCUCGCUCUACCUAGAGUAGUCUCCGGCCCUCCAGCUGGAUGCCUAUAUAAACCCCCAGCGCCAUGCACUGCACCACCAAGCAACACCAGCUACUACUACUACUACUAGCAGCAGCACCAGCAGCAAACGACCUCCGAUCCUUCCCUCAUCGAUCACCAUCUUUGCAUAUAUACAUACGCCAACAUAUAUCAUAUCGUCUUUGCAGCAAGCAAAAUCAAGCACAUUAGUAUAUAUAUAUAUAAAAAAAAAAAAACUGAAUGGACGCCGUAGCGGCGGCGGCAACGGGUGGCGCCAUGGCGAUGGUGGCGGCGGCGGCGGUCCUGCUGCUGUGCGCCUUCAUCUACGCGGCGUGGCUGUCGCCGGCCGCGGCAAGGCGCCGCCUCCGUGGUGCGGGCUUCGACGGUCCCCGCCCGUCUUUCCCGUUCGGCAACCUCCCUGAGAUCACGGCCACGCUGCAGGCCUCCGCCGCCGCCAGCGCCAGCGCCAGCGCCAGCAACAAGCCGCCGUCCUCCGCCGUCUCCAGCGACAUCCACGCCGCCGUGUUCCCCUACUUCUCCCGCUGGCGCGAGUCCUUCGGCAAGGUCUUCGUGUACUGGCUCGGCACGGAGCCGUUCCUGUACGUGGCCGACCCGGAGUUCCUCAAGGCCGCCACCGCCGGCGCGCUGGGCAAGCGGUGGGGGAAGCCCGACGUGUUCCGCCGCGACCGCAUGCCCAUGUUCGGCCGCGGCCUCGUCAUGGCCGAGGGCGACGAGUGGGCACGCCACCGCCACAUCAUCGCGCCGGCCUUCUCCGCCACAAACCUCAACGUACGUCGUACCGACAACCAUUUUAAUUUGUCUUCUUCUUCUGCUAGUGCUAGCUAGCCAUGUACGUACGUACGUACGUGCUCCAUCGAUCUCCGAUCCGAUCCAUGCAUGCAUGCACUCACUGCCACUGCCACUGGUACGUACAGGACAUGAUCGGGCUGAUGCAAGAGACCACAUCCAAGAUGGUCGCCGAGUGGAGCGCCGCGGUGGCGUCCGGCGGCGGCGUGGUGGACGUGGAGCGUGGCGUGGUCCGCAACGCCGCCGAGAUCAUCGCCAAGGCGAGCUUCGGGGUGGCGGACGACGAGGCCGGCGCGCGGGUGUUCCUCAAGCUGCAGGCCAUGCAGGCGAUGCUGUUCCAGUCCAACCGCCUGGUCGGGGUGCCGCUGGCGCGCCUGCUGCACGUGCGCAAGACCUACGAAGCCUGGCGCCUGGGCCGGGAGAUCGACGCCCUGCUCAUGGAGAUCAUCGACGCGCGCCGCCGCAGCCGCCGAGCAGCCGGCGGCAAGGACCUGCUGUCGCUGCUGCUUGCCGGCACGGCGGCCACGGCCAACAACAAGCGGCUGCUGACGACGCGGGAGCUGGUGGACGAGUGCAAGACCUUCUUCUUCGGCGGGCACGAGACGACGGCGCUGGCGCUGUCGUGGACGCUGCUCAUGCUCGCGGCGCACCCGGACUGGCAGGACGCGCUGCGGGAGGAGGUGAUCCGCGAGCUCGGCGACGGCGACCAUCUCGACGCCGCCGCGCUUGGUCGCCUCACCAAGAUGGGGUGGGUGAUGAGCGAGGUGCUGCGCCUCUACCCGCCGUCGCCCAACGUGCAGCGGCAGGCGCUGGAGGACGUGACGGCGGCGGAAGGCCGCAAAAAAUCCGCCGCCGCCGCCGCCGUCAUCCCGCGCGGCACCAACAUGUGGGUGGACGUGGUGGCCAUGCACCACGACGUGGAGCUGUGGGGCGACGACGCGCACGAGUUCAGGCCGGAGCGGUUCGGCAGGGACCCCGUGCAGGGCGGGUGCCGCCACCGCAUGGGCUUCCUCCCCUUCGGAUUCGGCGGCCGCAUCUGCGUGGGGCGAAACCUCACGGCCAUGGAGUACCGCGUCGUGCUGGCCAUGCUGCUGCGCCGCUUCCGACUGUCCGUGGCGCCCCAGUACAGGCACGCGCCCAAGAUCAUGCUCUCGCUCAGGCCAUCCAAUGGCAUCCAGCUCCACCUCACACCACUAGAUCAGGUGGUUGCUGCUGCUGCUGCUGCUGCCACGUCAUCGUCGGCCUAGCUAGCUAGCUCUAUCUGGUCAUCACAUCUAUCAUGUCGACUUAAUAAUUUGAUUAACUAAUUAUAUAGCUGGCGUACUAAGUUGUGCUCCACUCCACUUAGUAUACAGAGAUAAACAGAUAUAGAGAAUUACUUACAUAGGAGUAUGUUUAUAUAUAUAUAUAUAUAUAUAUAUAUAUAUAUAUAUAUAUAUAUAUAUUAUGUAUAUAGGCAGAGAGGUCACACUAGUGCUGGAAUGAUUUAUAUUAAUUAUACAAUAGGCACCGCGUAUAUAUGCAGCUGCUAGUUAAAGCUCCUAUAAAAAAGGAUGCUUGUUUUGUAUCGCUACUACUAGUUGUAGUCGCAGUACGUACAAAGCGGAUCCCGCAAAUAUAUAUGCCGUAUGUACUUUCAGAGACAAUAUUAAUUACUACACUUUAUUUAUUUGAUCCUCGGUCUGUUUAUAAAUACAUGGUGGCAUUGGCUUUUUUUCCCCUCAAAAAAAAAAGAGAAAGAAAUAUUGAGAGUGGUGUUUUCUCCAAAACAAAAGGGUGAAAACGGUACCAUAUCAUUAUUAAGCAUAUAUAUUAAUUAAGCCAUCUCAUGAUCUUAUUGCUAGUAUAAUGAGAGGCGUUCCUAGCUAGCUCCUUGUGCCGGCUGGCCUGCUGAACGUGCUGGCAUGACUUCCAUGCAUGCAUUCAGUUCAAUGUAUGAAAUUGUCAUCGAUGCCAGUCACAGCCAGCAGCUACGACUGGCCGGUUCACAAUUCCAUUUCCAUAUGCAUGCAUGGAAAGUUGGCAUCAGUCUGUGGGCUGUGGGACAUAUAUACAUACAGCUUAGCGUGUGGUACAAGUUAGUAGAUUGAACGACCAACAACGACAGAUGCGACGCAUGCAUGCUUAUAUUGAGUUGAUCAAAUCUCUCCGUACGUACGUGUUACCAGCAGCUAGUAGAUAUACAUAGGCAGCUUGAUGCGCCAGCAUGCAUGUGUAAACAAAUUAAUUAAGCAUGCACAUAAUCUUUUGUAAUUUGUUCCAGGUCCAGCUCCAACCAGAGCAUCUCCAAUGGUUUGUCAUUUGCACUUGCUAUCCUUGUUUAUUUGGCAAAAACUACAAAUUUGAUUCUCCAAUGGUUUGCUAAAGGACUUGCCAAAUUUUGAGGAGUUGCUAUCCAGAGGCGCUUCACGCGCAAAUUUGAGGAGUUGCUAUCUAGAGUUGCUAUCUGUGGUGGUCAUUGCCGCCCCGUCCUCUUGCCUCCGUCGUCCGCGCGGCCGUCCUCUGUCGUCGUCCGUGCGGUCUCCGUCCGUCGUCGUCCGCGCGGUCUCCAUCCAUCAUCAUACGUGCGGCCAUCGUCCGUCAUCGUCUGCGCGGCCUCCAUCUAUCGUCGUCUGCGUGGCUGUUCUCCGUCCCUCGUCCGCGCGGCCUCCAUCCGUCGUCGUACGCGCGGCCGUCCUUCGUCGUCGUCCGCGCGGCCUCCGUUUAAUGACAACGGUGGCCAGCAGAUGGAGAUCGCCGCGAUGAAGCAGCGACGCACGGCGGCCACGAGAGUCACGACAGUUGAACGGUUGGAGGAUGUGGGCCUUCUUUUCUAUUUUACCAAGUCCAAAUGACAAACCAUUGGAGAUACAAGAUUAUUUCACUUGCCAUUUGUUUUAGCCACUUGCCAAAACACAAGAUUUGACAAAUGCAAUUUGACAAACCAUUGGAGAUGCUCUUAUAUAUGGUGGCCAUGGGUGGUUCGGAUCGGACGGCGCGAUGGAUCGAUGAUGAUCAAUCAAAAAAACGUAACGUACUGGCCGGGCUGGCAGUGGCAGGAUCAGGGGCAGUCAAUGUAAAAAAUUAAGAUACUGUAUGAUGGAGCCUGCCGUGGUCGUUUUCUUCAGCUAGCUAACUGCUCGUCGUGGUGCCGGCGCCCGGCCGGGUCAAACUUGUGUUUCAAAACCUCGUGCGCUUCUUCUCGCGCGCGCUGUGCAUGCUAGCUUCCAUGCGACCAACUAAUAGUAUGUAUUAAGAAAAGAAAAAUACUACUAAAUAGCAGAUUCGACAAAUAAUCUCAAAUAAACAAAUUGUAUUAUAACUUAUGUAAACAUCAUCCUCAAAAUAAAUAAAUUGUAUUAUAACAUAUAUAUAUAUAUAUAAACAUCGUCCUCAAAAUAAAUAACUUGUUUAAAAUUAAUUUGCAGCCAGCAGUGGAUGAAGAAGCGAUGAGGGUGACAAAAAGCUGAAACUUAUGUAAACAUCGCCCUCAAAAUAAAUAACUUGUUUAAAAUUAAUUUGCAGCCAGCAGUAGAUGAAAGAAGCCAGCAGUGGAUGGAAGAAGCGAUGAGGGUUAAAAAAAUAACUGUAAGAAGCCUGUAGGGCCCAUCCGGGUUCGAACCGGAGACCUAUUGAUCUGCAGUCAAUUGCUCUACCACUGAGCUAUGGACCCAUUAAUGUCCAUACACCGAUUGAUGACUUUUUAAAAAAAGCGUCGUCGCAUACAUCGAUUCUGCUUGCGCUGACCGAUGAGUGCCGGCGUUGGGUGCCUGGCUAUCCAUUCCAUACCAGCAAGCAAGCAAUUCAGCAUCGUCACAUCUCAUGACUGAUGAACAAGCAAGCAACACACACACAGGGGUCUUCCUCUUUGCAUUGGCAGACCGACGACGUGCAUGGAAACAGUACGUAGUGUCGUCGUCGAUCGUCCUCUUGCAGUUGCAGGAUACGAAUAUAUAUCACUCUCCUCCUGUUAUCCCCGUUAGAGCUGAACUGACUGGGCUAACAACGUUGACUGCCACCAAAGCUGACAUCCUGCAUUUCCAGCAACGCAACGUCUCGUCUGACUGUCCCUCCCUCCUUCGUUUCAGACUUUGAAAUUCUCUGAUUCGAUUCGGUUCAACCUUUGGUUAAUUAUUAGUCAGGCCUAAUUAUGACUAAUGAGUGAACAAACGCGUUGGCCUUGGCCGGCCGGUCAGUAGCUAGCUUAGCCUUUUCUCCCGGACGGUAUCCUUUUCUUUGCAUGCCCUUUAGCUCGUGCACGACAAGAGACCUCCUCCUCAUUCAGUUUUCUGAAUUUUGAUUUCAUUUUAUUUGACCAACCAUAUAUAUGCACACUUCUACUACGUGCGUGCGUAUCAAACCAAACCUUCUUUGCUACGGUCGUCGCUUCAACUUUACAUACAGACUUCACACACACGCGCGUUAGAUCUAAUCCAAUCCCAUGUUUCCAAUCCUGCCAAGCCAAUGCAAUACUCAUUCACCUUUUUUACUUAAUUUCUAAAACAACUUUUUCAUUUGACCAACCAUGCACAACAUUUGCCCACGAGACCUAGCUUCUUUGGUCGUUGCUUCUCCUUUACAGACUUUAUACACACACAAACACAAAAAUGUCAAGAUCAAAUCCAAUCCACUGCCAAGCCAAUACAUUGCCUUUUUUUUUUUCGAGUCGAAAGUUCGGACCGUCCGUCCGACCCUCAAGAUUCAACUGAUACGUACUCAUGCAGUUCUCAUAAACAGUACCAAACACAUUUUAAUGUUUGACUAAAUCUAUCUACAUUAGAAAAAAAAUGAUAGAAAAUAAAUAUCGUUCAAUUAACCAUGCAAUAUACUUUUCACAUAUCACAGUACAUCUAUCUAUAUAGACUCGUAAAUGCUAACAAUAUUUUCUAUAAACUUCAUUCUAUCAAACUUCACAAAGUUUGAACCAAUCUAGACCAAGAGUGACAUCCUUUUUCGGACACAGGCAAUAAAUCGACUUACAAUGACCCAUCCAUUCGCCUCCAAGAAUUCCAGUACCGACUCAAUCAGUAAGUACCCAUUCAUUUCACCCGGCGUCUCUUUUCUUCCAAUAGUAGCAUAUACCACAUACUAUAUAUUUAACAUAACACCAUCGUUAGGUGGCAAAGCAUCUCCCAUUAUCUCAUACAACAACAUCCCAAGUACAACAUCACAUCACAAUAAUACCAUAUACGAUAUACUCGGAGUUCAGAGUUUCCUAAACCACAGCAACGCCUACAACAGAGUUGUUAGUACAUGCAUGCUGUGUGUCCAAGGAGGAGGAUUCCACUUCGUUCCAUGUCAAGGAGCCUUAUCCACCCAACCCGACCAACCAGAUGCAACCACCACUUCCCUACUACUCGCGGAUCGAGUUGAUAUCGAUGUUGGGAGUUCUCGAGUCUAUCUGCCUCAUCAUGCCCGAUGCCCACCCGCCGCUCAUCUCAGGAGGAGGGGCCAUGCUGCUGUGGUCCGCGAGUGCCAUCGCAGGGGCCACCUCUUCGUCACCGGCGUUCGCCUCCUCGGGCUCGAUGUCCGCCUCAGCUUUCGCCUUGUUCUUCUUCGAACCUCCGUACAUGAAGCUCCCCACUAUCACCUGCAACAAUGCAAAACCAGUGAGUGCGUAAGAAACAACCCAACCACAACAGGUGGUCCAUGAACGGUGGCCAUGGUCCCUUCUCUUUAUGCACAUGACACAGCAAACAAACCAUAUGACAGCAAAAUUAUAAUACUGACAGCAUAUUCAUAUAAUACUACUUCACAAAAAGUCAGUUGAUCUAUCUUCUAUCACACUCACCUGAACUGUUCCAGCUGCUGUCAGGACUCCACCUACACUCCCACCAAUAACCCUGUGGUCAGGACCACACAAAGCUAUGCAAAGCCCUCCACUUCGGGUCCGUGUGCCACCAUCAUCUAGCACCAAGUACGACCCAGAAAGGCACAAGAUCUCAAAUCGACCCUGCCAAAUCAACAAUAAAGCAUGAGGGUACAAAACUAAAUGAGAACAAUAUAAUUGAAGUACAGAUGAACAGUUCCAUGAAAAAAAAAGUAUGGCAUGUACUGCAACCUAAAACAAGGAUAACAACAACCUUGGACUCAAAGCAGACGUUCUCAGCAUACUUAGCUAAUUAAGAGAAAGUAUGCAAACAAAUGACUCCUUUUAUGAUUUAUUCCCCCCCUUUGAUAGCAAUACUUCAGCUGUAACAUGCAAGCAAUCCAACUAUCCAGGCAAAUUCUACCAGGAAACCUUUUGUUUAAUUUGCAGUGGGAAACAUUUAUAUAUUCAAAUAUGCAACAAGAGCCUCGUUCAAAAAAAUGCAACAAGAGAAGAACAGAACACAUGCAAGCAGUAGUUUUUACGCAAAUGAUAACCAAUCGUGACAUACCUCGUAUGUAACCACACCCCCAGAGUCUGAAUCCUGGUGAAGGGUUGCUGUUGAAACAGCUCCAGUUGCUGAAAUGAUGCACACUGCCCUUGGGCCUUGUUGUGAGAAGGCCAUUAUUCUGGCAGCAACGUCCUGCGCAGACAGGAAAGCUAUAAUCAGAACCCUCAUGGUUGGUAUUUACCAGAGUUAACAAUUGCCACUAUAGCAACCGCCAACCAGAUAGCAACAUAAAUACAACAAAAAUAACAAAGCAUUUUAGUAGUUUAGUCCCAAGGUUAUUCUCUAGUAAAUAGAAACGUAGAUCAAUAAGAAAAAGAUUAUUCUCAAGUAGAUAACCCACAAAGUUGAGCUGUGCUUUAACCAAGGUUCAAUGAACGAGCCUAGGCCAGGACCUUGUAGGCACAAAACUGUUUUCCACUUUUAAAAGAAAACCAUAGGUGCAUUGUUUCCGAGAAUAGAGGAUUUUAUUGGAUAUAUGACAUUAGGUGUAUGAUUUCCACAAUAAUACAGAUUAAGACCAUGAAGUGAAAUUGUAAAUGUCACAUCAAGCAGCUUCAGAAGGCAGAAUACUAAUGAUGCAUCGUCAGCAGGUCCAAUUAUCUAGAGAAAUUAGUUGACAUGAUGUAACAAUGACAAUAAAUCAGCUGCAACCAUCCCAACCUCCUUCAAUAUCAAUGAUAAAUUCCUCAUUUGAUAGCUAACAAAAUGGCAGUAACCUAAUGUGUGGCAGUAAUAUAGAAGCCACUAAAUGUCACCCGUGAGUUGAAAACAACAAAUAGAAUUGACCACCAAAGAAGAGUUUGCUACACUACCUCCAGAUUCAUCUGGCAUUGUCUAUUCAGAUACCGCUUCUAACAGAUUCCCUAUGUUACAACAGAAAAUUAAUUGGAUAUGCACACUGGAUAUUUGGGUAAACCAGAUACAAUUUGAAGGUAAUUGGCAGCAUCAGAUACAAACCAUCACCACCCAUCACUUAUGCCACUACGCAAACAAGAUGCCCCACUCCCACAUAGCAAUCAUGCAUAAAUCAAAAAUGGGUGAAAGCGACCCUUUUGGAAAUUAAUCAUCAGCUAGUGUUCAUUGAAACUUACCUCUCCUGGUUGAAUAAUAAUCACAUGAGGAGUAAAACCUGUUCCAACAGAGCCAAGAAACCACUUUCCUAAACAAGACAAUUGAAUUUCAUCAGACGACAAAGAUACAAAAUCAGCAGUUGAUGCAUAACAAAAAAAAAGAACGCAAAAGAACAAAAAAGCUACUUAGGAAAAGGGUCCACUUCUUUCUUUUUCUUUUGGGAAGAGACAAGGUAGUAAAAGAGGUCAACUGCUUGCUUGACAUAACAGAGCCAGCGGACAAUAUAAAAUAUGUUAUCAAUUCAAGAUCAUUGAAUUCAUGAUCUCAAUUUAGAAAAAACGACAAAAAAGGGUGCCUAAACGACAUGUCAGGACCUACUCAAAUUCAGAAUAAAAUCCCGAGUAGGUCGCGCAACAGAUACGUAAACAAAACAGAACACGAGGGGAUUGUAUCAUGAUUACAGUUAUAUCUUCCAGAAGGCAAUAGAUGAAUAACGGCCUACCAAUCAUGGGGUGCGGAAGACAGGCAGUUGAUGUAACGUAUGAAACAAACCAAAAGCACAGGUGCGACAGAACACAUUAAUCAGAGUUGAUCCAGUUGCUAGAUAGAACAUAUAAGCUAAGUCCAGCUUUCAUCUUAAUACAACAAUAUGCAAUGUGUCUGGAUUCAUCAUUCAAGGAAGGUCCAACAUAACUCAAUAGGCGGCCAAAGUCAGAGCAUAUACAUACCCAAGAAGCAAUGCGAUCAUGCGAAAAGUUAUACGUUACAGAGAUUGAAACGUACCAUUAAUUGCCUAGCACAUUUCAUUCAGUUUCACAAAUAAAGUACAUAUAAGCCAUAUGAAUCAAUUAUUAUAAUGCAUAGGGUAUGUAAGUGAAAUUACAAGGCCAUGGAAGCUCACCAAGCGAAGCCAACUGUUGCAUCUUUCCAGAGCCAGGUGGCCGCCCCCUGCCACGUUUCUCUGAUGGCGCACCUGAACCUGAACCCCCUGAUGCCCCCGACCCAAAUCCAGAACCUGGAGUGCAAACCAUGGUUCCCAUCCCCGGGCUGGACGAGUGAGGCGUCGAUGACGAAGAGGGUGAUAACCCGAGAGUCACCGCCCCAUCAGGCUUAUACUUCCUUGGCCUACCCCGCUUCUUCUUCACCUGCUCAUCCUGGCCAGGCCCACUCCCCUGAUCCCCCUUAACAUCUGCGCUCACGGCCACACCCAUGCCAAUGUCCAUACCACCGCCGCCGGAGCUGGAGCCGCCACCGGCACUGUGCUGCGCCACAUGAUGUGAGGCCUCGACAUGGUGGUACCCCUGCCCAAUGUGGGGACCCCCAACAUGCGGGGUCUGGAAUGCGUACCCCGCAGAGACAGCAUCAAGAUGCUGCCUGUACCCACCAGGCGGCGGGCCGUGGAGCCCCGACGAGUGGCCGGGGACACCCGGCGCCCCGAUGCCCCGGUGCUGCGCGUAGAACGAGGAGAAGUUGGGCCCCGACGUCACCGUGGACUCCCUCCCGUCCAUUCAUAGGAAUGGGCAGCGCCGCCACCCACCGAUGCGCAGGCGGGGGCAAGCCUAGUUGCAAGGAACGGCACAAAGGUGGCUACUUUGUCUCACUGUUGGAGAUCAGAUGCUCCCGAAAGGUAUUGGAGCGAGCAAAUGGACGCAAGAAUCUCUAACUCUGAGGAUCUUGCCCUCCCCCAAGGAACUCUCGCACAAAACCGCAGUUGCUUGUGGUGGCGGGACGAGGCGAGAUCAGAUCGAGGAACGAGAGAUCUCAAGAAAGCGGUGGGAUUUGUGGAGACGGAUGGAAUGGAACGCGAGGCAUGGAUGAGGGGAAAAAACACAAUCUUUGCAACAAAUGGCCGGAGCGAGAAACGGAGGGGAUUUGUGGCGAGGCUUUCGGUGGAGACCGACCCUCUGAGACGAAGGGUGGCGGCGCCGGAGGGUUGGGUGGCUCGCGCCGGGAUCUGCUCGGCGGCGGAUGAGAAGGGGGCGAUCCGAUCGGGAAUGGCGAUGCGGAAAUGGGGCGCUAAAACCCUAGAGAUGGGGGGCUGACGGAAGGAGCGAGGGAUCAGACUCAGAGCAAGGGGAGGGGACGGACCCAAGAGGAGGAAGAGCGAGCAUGUAUGCUGUAUGUGUGCGAGGAGAGAGAAACAGCGGGAGGAGGGAGAAGGAUUUUCUGUGAAUGGCACAUUGCUACUCAUACUCAGCCCGUUUGGUUAAUAAGCUAUGGUAUAAACUACUGUUGGCUAAUUUGUUGGAUGAAAAAAACACUAAUGAAUGAUUAACAGAUUCAGUCGAUAAGCUCAAACGAACAAGCUAUUGUGACUCUGUAUGUGAGUUGAGUGUAGUGGUGAUCAUGAAAGUGUUGAAUUGAAGGUUCAAAUAACAUGUCAUGAUCGGUACAAGGUGAUUUUAUCACUCUAAGAUUGUCAUCGAGAUUUUAAGGUAAUCUUAGGUUUCUACUCUAUAUCUAUUGGACAUUUAAGGCUACUUUCAUCAAUUACAAUAUUUUCCUACUUCUUUUUACUUUGAUUACUAAUGUCUAUAAAAGUAUGAGGGUAUUAUAUUAAAUAAAAGACAAUAUCUUUUAAGCACUGGCAGAGCCACCGCUCGGCCACCCUAGGCGGUCGGCCGGUCUUGUCGCCAAUGUUCAAAAGAAAACUUUCUUUAUAUCAAAGUAGAUCCCUGAUUUCCUAUAAAUUUCUAGCUAAAUAUUUUUGUAUAAUAAAAAUUACUCGGGCUCCUAAAAGCUUCUGGCUCCGUUAAUGGUUUUAAGGAUACAUCGCACCUUAAUAUAUGAGUUUACGUUGAUAGUCCUUCGAUACCGUGACCAAGAAAGGCUAAGGAUUGCCAAUUUUUAUUUGAUAAUUACCUCCUUCUUAAUGCAUAGGCGUGGUUCCCUAAGUAAUCGGUUGCUAAAUCCAUACUAACACCAAGCAAAAAAGUUGUAAGUUGUUAUCGCGUAUGGCAGAGCACACCCACACCUCUUCCCCCGCCUUUGCAUCUAAAUUCACAUGUGGCCAUGAUCUCCUUUGCCCCACUACUUCUGGUUUGACCUGUUAUGAGUCUACAAUUAAACUAAUAAUGUCCUCUACCUGCCACUUCUCAAACUGCAGGCAUCUUUGGACCAAAAUUUUCAAGAUGCAUGCCAUGACCUAUAUAACUUUCCAUGGGGGAGGACUAUGGCUAUGAAAUCCCAGUGAACUCUCCCUUCUUAUUCUAAUUCAAUGUUCUCAUUUAUUCAUUUUUUUGUGUUUCCGCUAUAUGUUCCUUCUUACGAUCUCAUUCUUCUAUUAAUCUUUUGUCAUGUCACAAGUGAUGAGGAUCCAUGAGGAGGCAAAGUGCAACCAGAUGUUGCUGCAGAUGGUGUUCAUAUUUCUUAUGGUGCGAUAGCAUAUGCCAUCUUAGGUGGAGGUGUUGGUGCUAAGUUUAAACUUGUUAACAUCGACUCAACCCAAUUGCACUAGGCAUCCUCGACGUCAAGUUCUUCCUCUUUGACUCACGCCUCGCACAAGUUCGUCCUCAACGGUAUGACACAAUGAUGUUAGAGCUUUGUAUGUGAUGACGUUGUAGAGCGUUGGCGUUGAGGUUCUUGUUAGAUGGAAACGGGAGAAUUAGAGUUGAGGCUCCCAUAGUACGUAUAUGGUGUUAACGAGGAAUGACCAUGCAUUUGAUACGCCUAUCAUACAAGGAGCCACACUUGGAGAAAAUAAAGAAAAAACAGAGAGAAAAGGUUAGGUGAUGUAUACCACUAGAAAAACAAGAGUUUGCUCAUACGACUUAGUCUAAAUAACAUUUCUAUUUUUUGAUGGUCAAGUUUAAACUUUGGCUUAGGAGAUUAAAGCAUUACUCAUGAUAACACUUUACAUGAACCCUUGGAUAUAUAUUGGCAACUAAAAAAUACCUUUAAUGGUAAGUGAUUGGUUGUUGCUAUCUAAACCCAUAUUCCAAAAGAAACAAAGUAUUUUAAAACUUAUAUAUAUAUAUAUAUAUAUAUAUAUAUAUAUAUAUAUAUAUAUAUAUCCAAAUUCUCGUUUCCUCCUUCCAAUUACCUCUAACCGAACAUGUUGACAUUUUGGCAAUGAGUUCUAGCCACACAACCAUUCAACCAACGGUUGUCACCUCAACAACAGCACGUGCAACAGUAGAUAGAACUGUCGCUUAAUUAGAAGCGAACACUCCCAACGAUUUCAUUGAGAUUGAGCGAACAUUUAAAAUUACCCUAAAAUAAUCUUAAAAAAGAUUAUCCUAAAAUAAUACUGAUAAUAAAAUGUUUAUUCAAAAACUUCACGUGACUUUAUUGAAUAAAUAUACAGGUUCAUGCAAAACACAUUAUGUUCAAAAUGCACACUCUGAUAAGGUUCUUUUUCGUGCAAAAAAUAUAUAAAAAGACAUAAUCUACUUAGUGUGUUUUGUCAUCUCAAACAAUAAAAAAUAAAAUAAAAUGCAGUCCCUGUACCUUUCUUUCAUCAUCUAUGUUAACUGAAUUAACCAACAAUGUGUCAGGAUUUUAUAAUCGGAUUAACCAACAGUUUUUUUAUUAACACGAGUGCAAACAGAGUGGCACGGGAUAGCUGUGACAAAGGAUCCUAGCCUUGACCGGGGUACGGGGACAAAGACACAUCGCUUGCUGAGGAUACGCGUAGGAUAGGAUGACAGUAAUAAUAACUGCGCUGUGAAGCCACCCCACAUAUAGCUGAGCAAAGCUAUUGCCAUCAAAAAAGAGAUAUUUGUUAUCACUUGUUCAAGAGGAUCAUUAGUACAAGAUAUUUAUUUGUCCAAAAGAACGCAUUUCAAUUUUCAACGGAGAGAGAGAGAGAGAGCGCUGUUGAUACGCAUGGAACACAAAAAUUCAGCAACACCAAAGGCGGCCAUACCCCCAACUGUGUGUGUUUCUUCAGAAACGGUUUCUCUGAAAUGACAAACGGCCGUACCUUGUUGGAACAUGAUUUUUUUUCCGUGUUGGUUCUGUAAAAUUCCGAAUUUUUUCUUCAAAAUUUCAUUUUAUUUUUUUAUAAAUUCAGUUUUGCGUUCCAAACAGAUGUUUAGGCCUUGUUCAGUUUCCAAAAUUUUGAGUUUUUAGUACUAUAGCAAUUUCAUUUUUAUUUGAUAAAUAUUAUCCAAUUAUGAACUAACUAAGCUCAAAAGAUUCAUCUUGUGAUUUGCAGUCAAACUGUACAAUUAGUUUUUGUUUUUAUCUAUAUUUAAUGCUCCAUGAAUAUGCUGCAAGAUUCGAUAUGAUGGAGAAUCUUAAUUUUUUUUAAACUAAACAAGGCCUUAUUGGGUUUUAUGUUUCCUGAUUUCCUCCGUGUGAGGCCUUGUUUAGUUCACCCUGAAAACCAAAAAGUUUUCAAGAUUCCACGUCACAUCGAAUCUUGCGACACAUGUAUGAAACAUUAAAUAUAGACAAAAACAAAAACUAAUUACACAGUUUGUCUGUAAAUCACGAGACAAAUCUUUUGAUCAUAGUUAGUCUAUAAUUGGAUAAUAUUUACCACAAACAAACGAAAAUGCUAUAGUUGCGAAAUCCAAAAAAAUUCGCAUCUAAACAAGGCCUGAGAUUGUUUUUAUCUGGUAAGAACGAGUCCAAAGGCAGGCAACAAAGUGGUGACAUGAGCAUCACGUACUCGCACCCAGCUACGUAGGUUCCAAUGGCCUCAAGCUGACCAUGUGCCAGGCUGCUUUCGACACAUCGUCACUACGUCCGAGGAGAGGAGAUUUGCCUUCUUUUUGUUACAAGGAGAUUAAACAACUGCUACUACACCAGCAAAAGGACAAAAUGCAAGUGUGAUUCCAGGCAUACCAAAAUAGCAGCAUAGUAUUUCCUCAUAUGAUGGUUAGUAUAAGGAGCAUGUUACUACUUUCUCCGUUUUUUUAAAAAAAAUACCAUUUUUAGGUUUAAAUUAAUUUAAACUUGCUUAAUUUUAACUUAGCUUAUAAAAAUAUUUAUCAAUUAUAUAUAUAUUUAUUGUGAAAAGGUAUGAUACGUACUUAUUAUGCAUCAUACAUAUUCAUAGACUCAUCGGACGGAGGGGUUAGUGCACAAGAACAAGAAGCUUCGCAAUCUGAAAACGUUCAGGGAAACUGGUGACAAAAGAGCAUGCAUCACUUGUCAACAUUAUUGUGCUGCUGCACAGGCAAGAAAAGCAUGGAUUGAUUUCAGUGGACCCAUACCACACAACACUGUAGACCGACAAAUGUAAAUGCUGCUGCAUCCCAAUCAAAAAGAGCAUAAAGAUACAAAUCUGAAUCAAUACCAUUGAUAUUGAGGCCUUGUUUAGUUCGCAAAAAUUUUCAAGAUUUCCCAUCACACAUCGAAUCUUUGGUCGCAUGCAUGGAGUAUUAAAUAUAGAUAAAAAUAAAAACUAAUUGUACAGUUUAUCUGUAAUUUGUGAGAUGAAUCUUUUGAGCUUAGUUACUCCAAUUGGACAAUGUUUGUCAAAUAAAAACGAAAGUGCUACAGUAGCCAAAAACGAAAAUUUUUGUGAACUAAACAAGGCCUCUGUUGCCAAACACAUUUAUACUCUACUACUACACGCGAGUACAUAAAGGCAAAAUGGUUAACAAGCUGCAGCUGCGCCCGAUAGGAGUUUACACGGUUCCCAUCUGUCCUCAAAAGCUAUUCAUUCACGUGGGCAUAGAACUUUGCCAUUUAGUUCAGAGUUCCAGCAUUGGCUCGACACUUAAGCUGAUGAUGUUUGUUGUGCUCUGCAGUCACUUGUCGACCUCCAUGGCUUGCGCGGCUUUGGCUUUCGCUAAGGCCGAAAGUUUCGUCUUCACCUUUUUCUUCCCAACCUUAAACUGACCACCCUUACGUUUCUUUUCACCACCAUCUAUCUGAACAAUUUGAGGAAAAAAAGAACGACAUUAAGACAAAUGUGUCAUGUACUUAGGCUUUUCAAAUCUUAGUGUUAGUGCAGCAUCAUGGUCGAACAUGUAGUGAAAUCUGAUGAACUGAUGAAGGGAAGAAAUUUAAGCUACCAUAUUUGUUUAUAGCUAGUGAUGCAUAAAUGAAGAAUAAUUUGCAAAUCUCAUGGCAGCUAGCGCAAAUCUUAUCUUUUUUUUAUGGUAGACUGUCACAGAAUAAAGGAGAUUAUCAAUGUUUCUCUGGAGAGUUAGGUGAUCCAGAUCUUAAUACAAGCAAAAGUACAUAACCAAACAACAACAGCAAAAUUCAAUGAGCCAGAGGAGGGAAAAACUAAGUAUAAAGUAUAAAAAGCCACCACCAUAAACUAGGAGUAACCAGAAAAUCUCAGGACAAAGCACUGAAUGCUACUAAAGGAUUACGGUUCUGGUUUUGGAAGACAGCAGAUUAGCACUGUUAUCCCAAAGCCACAAAAUCAUCAUGAGAUGCACAUCAGACAGCAUGUGCGGCUGCGGCACAAAGGAUCACUUAGCUGCCACGAAGAACUUGGCAACAAGCCAACAAGUACAUAAAAUGGCUGAUAGGCAAACUUCAGAUCACAAAUGUAGGCAGUCAAUCAUAAUGCUGAAUUGCGCAAAUGAGAGAACAACUUGAUACAGCUUAAGAGUAAAUGACUGCUUUCAUGCACCAGUCCUAAAGCACACUACAUUUGGUUACUAAUAACUGCUAAACCGUUUACAGGAGUAAAACCGGAAACCUGAAAAUAGCUGAGAUGAUAAAACAAUCAAAGCAGCUGCAAGCAAUUCCAGGCAGAUGCCUAAUGACCAGUGAUGAGCAUGGCAUUUCAUGAAACAUAAAGAAAUAAAUUGCAACAUAACUCUUACAACUUCCCAGUUAUAAACAAGAAAAUGCCGUCUCUUAAACCUUCCCAGGAAAUCAAGACAAUGCUACGUUGCCUAUUCCUUUGGACAAGCUGAGGCUAUUCCUUUGGACAGGUUGAGGGACGAACAUCAUGUUCAGUGUGCUCACAGUAUCAUCAUAUAAAGACCAUGGUUUAUUGAUGGUGAGAGAGAUGGCUUGGGAGAAACUAGAACAUGUAUAAUAUGGUCAGAACCUCAUGAGAAACAGAGAGAAAAUAAUGGCCACAAUAACCAUUUUUCACACCUGUCAUGUGUUCAGUUUGUUGGGUGACUGCAAACCCAAGCUGGAGCAUCAUUAAGGGCAAAAGCUCCUGAGUGUGGGCAGUUUGAAGCAAAAUCAGGCGACUAGCUAGUCUCUUAUUUUGUUGUACUAGGCUACUAGCUACUGUUAAAUUAAUAAAGACUCCUUUGCCUAAUGAGAGAAUUCACCAGCUGCAGCCGGUUAUCAUGUUGCUUUUAAGCAAGCUUAUAAGGCAAAUGAUAGGAAAUCGAGGUGCCAUAGCACACAGAGAGAGGCAUCCAGCGAUGUCAAUGAGUAAUCCCUUUCUGUAUUUACAGAGCGUCCAAUACAGCAGGAAUAGAGGAAUAAGGAGCGAGAGCACUGGAGGGUCGGCGGUACCUUCAUCUUGGAUUUCUUGGCUUGCAGCUUCUUGGCCUGCUUCUCCUUGGCCUCCUUCUCCCCUGCACACCCCGCGAGUAUCCGAUCACCAAAUGAGACCACAAAUACUCCCCAAGGCGACGAUUGAAAUUGGACAAGCAAGGGAAAGGAGGCAGGAGAAGAUGGAAUCGUACGCUGGAGGUCGAACUCGUACUGCUUCUUCCUCUUGGCGAGGUUGUUCUUCUUGGACAUGUUGCUUCCCUCGCCGUCGCCGCCAACACCACAGCACAGGGAGGAGGAGCCACCAAAGGAAGGACAGGACUGGAGACAGGAGAGGGGCAAACCCUAAGCCAAACCGAAGUCAGCGGGCCCUUCAAUCUGGGCUUGUGGCGGUGUUCAGGCCCAAGUACUGCAUAUGUGACCCAUACCGGAACGACGAAGGCCCGGCUACUUCCAAGGCCCAUCCACGGUGAUCGUGCGCACGUGGGCGGGACACCUAGCCGGUACGUGACACGUGUCACCGGGCCGACAUCUGCUGGGGCCCGCAGGCAGGAGAAAUCAUGCGGACGCGUGGCGCAUGGCCGGUGCCGACGUGUCAGUCAUCAUUCUCCCAAGGAUUAGGGUAAUUUAUUCAUGCAUUCACACCUGCCUGCCUCGUUUAGGGAUGCCACUGCUGCAAAAGCAUUUCCUUAAUUUUGAGGCUCCGUCUUUCCAAAAGAUGGUUUUGAUUGAUUAGCUAGUGUAACGCGUAAGCUCUACUACUCCUACCACUGAUCGAGCUUCUUCUUGAAGCAUGUAAAUUAAAGGGGGCAGGAAGCCGCAGCUUGCCUGCCCAUCGUUUCAUUUCAUCGGCGCUUCCUUUGUUGAACACAAGGGGGGAGAUCCGUCGGUCCAUGGAGUCCAAGGAGGAGGCGAUGAUGAUGGUGGCAGCGCCGGCGGCCGGUGCCGGAGAAGCCAAGAGUAAGACUCACUGCUGUGCCCUUUCGUUGCGUCGCGUCUCUCUUGGCUUGAAUGUCGGUAGCUAGGCCGGAUGGAUUGCUUUGCUUUGCUUUGCUUUGCUUGCCACAAGUCUGCUAACCGGGCUGGCCGGCCGUGUCUCUCACUCUCUGCGCGCAGAUGGUCCGCCGGUGGCAGUCGACAAAGCUGGAGCUGCCCCGGCUGACAGAGGUAGCUAGGAAAACGAUUCUUCAAUGUAUUGUACACAAUUAAGAGAGACAGACAGAUGAUUAAAAUUUUUAUUUUCUUCUUUGUGUGGACUGGAACUGGACAGCAGAUGCUGCCGUGCUUGCAAAGGUGGAGAUGGACAGGAAGCUGUCUAUGAUCAAGGCGUGGGAGGAGAGCGAGAAGAGCAAAGCCCAAAACAAGUAUGUAGGCAGUGCUCAGCAGCUACACUCUGCUGCUCUGCUAGUAUAGGAUGCCUGCCUGUUUAUAGCCAAACUGUUUGUUUUAUUUACUACCUUUGUUCUUUGCUCGCGACGCGACGCGAUGGCGGGGCACGCAGCGCAGGGCCGAGAAGAAGAUGCUGUCGGCCAUCAUGGCGUGGGAGAAGACGAAGAAGGCGGCAGUGGAAGCGAAGCUGCGAACCCGAGAGAGGUCUGUCUCAAUCGCGAUCUCUCCAUGCAUGCAUCGCUGCUAGCUAGCUGAGGGUUGGUUGGUCAGACUGAAUGAACCCCUGCUGAUUUGCAUUGCAGGAGAAGCUGGAGAAGAAGAAGGCGGAGUACGCAGAGAAGAUGAGGAACCAAGCGGCAGGCAUCCACAAGGCCGCGGAAGAGAAGCGCGCGUCGGUGGAGGCGACGCGACGCGAGGCCAUCCUCAAGUACGAGGACAUGGCGGUCUACAUCCAUCCAUACAUACAUACUCCUACUACUACAUAUAUUGCUUUCGUCCCUCAAAAAUCUUUGGCUAUUGCUUUCUUGUGUGCUCUGCUGGGUAGGUAUUGUUUGCUCAAGGGAAUUGCUUGUAAUGCAUAUCCGUUGUGUGCUCUGUGCAGUAUGGUGUAUUAUAUGUAAAAAAAAAAAUGUAGCCACGCAGACAACAUUUCCAGUCUCAAAGCAUGAACUGCACUGCAUGUAUACCAGGAUUUGAUUGAUGUUGCUGCUUCAGUUUCGUCAGAGAAAUGGAAUGCAAAAACGUGCAGCUAGCAAUGCAGAGGCCCUUCAAAGAUUUUACUGAAAACAAACUAACAGCAAUGCAGCAUAAUACUAGUAAGUAGUACAAGACAACGACUGCAACGCUAGCUACAUACUCCUCCCUACUUGCAAGUUGCAACCACAAACAGCAAAGCAACGGCGAUACCACCAUCACGAUCAGGUGGGGGGCAGCAGAGCGUGGCCGUACCGCUCGUUGGCGCGGCGCGCGUAGAGGUACACGGCGAGGGUGACGUCGGCCACGGCCACGGCCGCGAGCGUCGCCACGAGGGGGCGGCCAGCUCCAGGGCCGCGGCCUCGGCGAGCGCGGACAGGAGACGCUUCGACCGCGGGCUCAGGCCGCCUGCGUCGCGCAGCUCGGCCAGGGCGAGGUUCAUCUCCUCCGGGAGCGCAGCCGCGGCGGGCUCGGUGUCGAUGGCCGAAUCCGCGCGCGCUGGCACCUGUGCAACCAAACAAAAGAACAGGAUAAUAAUAAAAAAAAAACAGGAUCCAUCAUUAAAUUCGAGUAACUACACACAUGCGAGAAGUACAGUAUCAGCGCGAAUUUCAAUUUUCAAAUGCUCAAACCCAACAACGAACAAACUCGGAUGAAAAAAAUAGACAAACUCGCGAUGCAAAUGUGGCCAAACAGAACACGGCCGACAUUGCAGCGACACCGUGCUUCGAACAGAACACGCAAAAUAGGGAGGCGGAUCCGCACACGAUUUGCAUGCAUCAAUGUCAGAAGCAAUUCGAAUGCAGCAAAUUGUCACCACCCACCUCGGUGACGCAGGAAUCGGCGGAAGCAGUCAGUGCGUCAUCGGCAGCAGCGGAGACGACGGACGUGGAGGAAGUGUCACCGGAGACGACGUCGGGGUCCGGGAGCUCGAGGAGCGGGGCCAGAUCGUCCUCUUGCGUGGCGAGCCCGUCCGCCGGCACGGGUGCGGGUGCGGCGGCGGCGGAGGGGAGGGUGAAGUAGUCGUCGUCGUCGUAGAUCAGGCACUUGGCCGCCACCUGAUCAGCACACGAGGUGCAUGAUAGUAGGCAGGGAAAGACGGAAGCCAAGGCGGGAGUAAAAGGUUAGCCUAGGGAGGCACUGGAAUUACCUUGGCGUUGGAGGCGGAGUCACGGGAGGCGGCGGCGGCGGCGGCGGCGGUCGACGAGGAGGUUGACCCGACGGAGCUGCGAGGGGCGGAGCAGGAGGACAAUGAAGAGCGGAGCGCGGAGGGGCGCGGGGUGUGGAUGGCAGCGGAGGCUUUCGCCAUGGCGGUGCAGCGCGGCGCGAACUGGGCGCGAGGGAAGGAGCGUGUGGCUGCGAUCAGAGCGGAGAGGGAAGGGGACUCGUGAUAUUCGUGGAGGUGGAGGAGAAGACGGAAUUUUGGGCCAGGAUGGGCCCUUCUGGUUCUGGGUCCAUAGCACAUGCCCUUUCUUCUUCUGGGCCUUAUUUAAUGAUGAACUAAAGGAUUGUUUUGUAGUAUCAUUUUAUAUUCUGCUAAAAAACAAUUUAUUUUAUAGGCACAAAUAAUUAUUCAUAAUACUAGCAAAUAUGUCCAUGCGUUGCAUAACAUCAAAUGGUCAUAGAAAAUGAUGACAUAAUGUUAUAUAUCUAUUUAUAUUUAUCCUUCUUAUAAAAUUUAAAGUCCAUAAUUUAUUUUAUUGAUAACUUUCACAUCUAUGAUAUUAGAUAGUUAAUAUUUACAAUAAUAUGUAGCUCAGAGACAUAUUUAUUUAAUAAUAAAAAUAAAAAUUAGUUAAACCUUAUCUUACUUUAAUGUUACCCCUUAAUAUACCUUAGUAUUAUAUUAAACCAUGAGAAGUUUGUUGCUAACUUUAUUAUUUUUAUUUCGAUUAGGAUUUUUCUAUGAAAUAUGAUAUAUCAGUUAAAUAUAUGUAGAUUAUGAACAUAUGGGCUUAUGAAGUGUUCAUAUGACAUAACAACACAUCGCGCAAAGGUAGUGGAAACAUCCUCAAGCGUAAAUUUAGGUAAAUUAAUAAAUCAGUGAGAUAUGCAGGAAUGGUGCUAAAACUUUUACCAUAAAUCAAGCAUUACAUUAAAUAGGCUACUAUAAAAUUUUUAUAAUAAUUAGAGCAAGAUAACUAAAAUUUAAAUUUUGCACUAAAAAGCAUAGGCAAGCAUCUUCAGCAAAAAAAAACUAAAAUUUGUGAUAUUUUUUGUAGUUUUUAGAUUUUUCUUAUAAAUUACUAUACAUUUAUAAAUUUUCAACCGAUCAAUUACUAAAAAAACAUAGGCAAGCAUCUCCGGCAAAUAAAAUGUACUAAAAUUUAUGAUAAUUUUUUACUACAUGGAUCUAUUGGUGCUGAACAAAAUUUGUUUUGUAUUUUUUAGAUUUUUCUAUGAAUUACUACGCAUUUAUCAAUUUUCAGCCGAUUUAAAAAAUAAAAAGAAAAGUAAAUUAAUAGGAUAAACACUUUGCAUCUAGGUCCUUAUACUUUUCUUAUUUUCAACUUGCUUUGAUGUGUAUAGGAGAUUUUGCAUUUUGAACCCUAAUAAAACUUCUAUUUUGUUGUCCUCUUUCAGGAUGGACUUGAACGGACACUUGGAUGGAGGUAGAAAGAAAGUUGGACAGACUAAAAUUUUUAUAAUUUAUUAUUAAAAAUAGAUUAUAGAACGUAUGUUUUUUUCACCUUUUAUUUUAUCGCCCAUACACGGUUUGAUGAGAUACAAAUGGACUUAAUCUAGAGUAGCGUGUAUAAGCAUAGUAUAGAGUCCAUUUUCUAUGGAAAAAACUAAACCUAACUUAACAUCAACAACAACUUGUAAGCGUGUAAGUGCAAAUUGUGUAUGAUCUUGCGCGACACGCUUGACAGGCAAAACCGUGAAGGCUGUAUUUGCAUUUUUAAAAUUUGUUUUAGAUUUAAAAUGGAGCUUUUGUCGUUUGGAAAAUGCUCGUGGAAAUAGGAUGUAGGGCUUGUUUGGGACAGCUCAACUUCACUACGAAAGCUGUUUUUUUAGAAAAUAGCUUCAUGAGUGACUUUUUAGAUGAAGCUGAGCUGUGUUUGUUAAAAGUGUUUGGCAAAAUAGCUUCACCAACUACUUCAUACAUAGUUGAGAAGAGAAAUGAGGGACAAGCUGCAAUAAGCUACUUUUUUUCCAGCUUUAUCCAACUUAUGUCUUUGUGAGAGGAGGAGAAAAACAGCUUCGCCUAUAGUAUAUACGGAUCGAGUUGUAUCAAGUGGUACGGAGAAAUACACGAGUACCUACUCCAACACGGAGAGAGAGCUUGUGGAUGGGAUUGAUACACAGUAUCAUUUCUUGUCUUCCACAUGGGACCCACCUUCAACCUCAUUAUCAUAUUCUGAUACAGGCAGCCGAAACCGAAAAAAAAAAUACUGCAGAUUAGACUAUCCGAUCCAUCGACGCCGCGGGACAAAGCCGUUUGAUCGAUCGAUCCAUCUCGCGCCGUGUUUCCCGUCUCUCUCCACGCCCGCUCGCGGAUUCGCGACUCGCAAGGUCCGAUCCCGAAUUUUCCUGGUCGCGGAUUCCGCAUUCCAAACCGACCGCUGACCUUCUUGUCCUUCUGCAGCUUCUAGCGUCUUGGUUUUCGAUUGCUGCAGGAAGGGAAGAGGCGGCGGCAAUGGCGGGGAGAGCCAACAUCCCGACCAACAACUCUGCGCUAAUCGCCAUCAUCGCCGACGAGGUAGCUCGCUGCCGCCCCCCACGUUUCUUCUCCCUUUUCGUCUCAUUACUCGGGAAUUGCCGAAUCGGGAUGUUUGCUUAUCUGAUGUGUGAAGAUGCUAGGGUGUCAAGUAGUUGAGUUUUUUUUUUUAAUGUAUGAUAAUUAAAAAUCCGUCUCUGGUAGAGAUCAGAUCCAUAGCAGGACGCUACGGACGUUAAGAAAAAAAAAAGAAUGAUACUUCAAACUUCGUCUCUCUAGAGAUCAGAUCCGCAGCAGGAAGCUCUGAACGAAGAGAGAUUCCUCGCCGUUCCUUCCUCACUAGUAGCUCGACAUUACCGGCCUUUGUUACGCGAGAAAUAUAACUGCUGCGUUAGCUGUUCAGUGGCGAUGGAUCUGUGAAUCGAUUCUUGCUGUUUGGCACUGAACUCAUUAUUUAUCCAUGCAUUAUUGCUUCUCGGCUGAAGCAUAAGCAAUAGUAGAUAGGUUACUGUACGAACACAGCAUUCACUAAGUGCUAAUUGAUUGAUCCUCCUAUCAUAAGAAGGGGGGACACAGAAAUAGUCUACUACUUGGUAGCAUAGUAUUUACUUCAUGCAUUAAACAAGACAUGUUUAUUUUUUAAUAUAGAUAUAUGUGACUAGCAGCAUAAUGCAGUUGGUAACACAGUAUUUACUUCAUAACCAUCUGUUUGUAUUGGUGGCAAGAAAGGAAAUCAUGCCAAAUUUUACUACUUGCUGAACAUAGGGCUGAUAGGUUGUUUCCCAUGCCACUUCACAGCAGCUAACUCUAAAAUGGAAUUAAGUGGCAUGUAAGGGAAGAAUGUUUGUGUCGAUGACAAUUAAGGAAGAAAAACUUUUCCAGUGCCAAAUAAGACCCCACUUUAAUUUCUGAUAGCAAUUAAGGGGAAAAAAAAAACUUUUCCAGUGGAUGGUCAGGCAAAAUGACUACAUAGACCCCUGAUAAUUUCAGUUCUUUUUUCACAUGUACUACAAAGCUUUCUUGGCACUGGGAUAGGCUACAGUAGACAGUGCUUCUCCAGUCAGAGAAUAGCCUUUUAAUUUGUUCUUAAUACCUGCAAGAUGUCACCUUUAGAACUGCCAGGUUUUCUAAUUUAAUCUUAGUGCACAGUUAUAAUUCUACUAUGGGAAUGAUUUUGUCGUCUCCACUUUGUUUUGCAGGACACGGUUACUGGCUUUUUGUUGGCUGGAGUUGGCAAUGUGGAUCUGAGAAAGAAAACAAAUUAUCUUAUUGUUGAUAACAGUAAUUCCUUGAAACUGUUAAUAUGCAAAGCAAUUUAAGUUUUCUGUGGUAGUUUGAACUUGCCUAGCUUUAGACUUCACAAUAAUGAUGUUAACUUUCAUACAAAGGUCAUGCCUUACUUGCCUACUGAUCCAUAGUACUAAUAUAGAGUUAAAUGUUCAACUUGAUGAAUCUUUUGAAAGCUCCACAGCAUCGUGCACUCACGGAUAAAAGGGCCUCUGGCCAUUGUGUCUCACUCAGUUUAUUGCAAUAUUGGCACGCUGGCAGAUUGCUUCAGCAAUGGCUCUUCAUAGUAAGGUUUUUUAUGAUAGCUUUUGUGCCAAAAAUUGUACUUGAACAUUACACAACCACCUGCUGAACAGCACAGAUACGGAUACGUGUAUCGGUAUCGGAAGGAUACGGAUACGUGGAUACGGCAAUUUCCUAAAAAACCCGAUACGCAGAUACGUUUACUAUUUAAAAAAUAAAAUUUAAAAAAUAAUAGUGCAGUUCUGAAUUUAAAAUUGACAACAAUAAAACACUGUAAUCAACUACUUAAGUGUAUUAUUAUUACACCACAGCUGGUUGGCUAAGCAAUUUCAUGGCUAAACUCAUCAAUAAGGGAGCAGAUCAUCCAUGAUUUCAUUGAUUUAUCCACCAAGUCAUAGGGGAAACAGCCCACCAUCUAUAGGGAAAAGAGCACUUGCACUGCUCAUAUUUGGAGACACCAUCUACUGCAUACAAGCAAUCAAGCAACAAGAAGUCACUAACUGCACUGCAGAAAGAGAAUAGAUCGAGAAUGUGGAGAUGAAGACGAAGUGGGGAGCAAAGAAAUCAAGAACGAGCGGACACGAACUGAAGAGGAAGAGGAAGAGGAGAUCGAGAACGAGUAAACUCACGGGAGUUCAUUGGAGCUAGAUCCAUGUCGCAGGGGCAGAAACCAGUCGCUGGCGGUCGGCGAGUAGGGACGGAGGCUCGUCACCGGCAGCUGGCGGGCUGGCGAGCAGGGAUGCGGCGUCGCUGCGCGGUGUUGCGGCGCGAGGCGCGAGUCGCAGGCGUGCGGCCGUGCGGGAGUGUGAGCAUCGGAGGCGUUGGACAGAGGGAUAAGGUUUGUCUAAUUGGGCUGGGCCGUAUCCACACACCAGAUACGUAUCAGCCGACGUAUCCAAAAUUCAUGAAAAAAAGAAAAAAUCGGAUACUUCACCGAUACGUAUCGGCGGCGUAUCGGAUACGUAUCCGUAUCCGAAACGUAUCGGAUACGCGAUACGCGCUGCCAGGGACGUAUCCGUGUAACGGAGACCACCUGCGAAUUCCAGUGACCGGUUUAGCUAAUGUGUCGAACCUGAAGUUGCUCUAUUAGGACGUAAAUUUUGCCGUGGAAGAUACUCUUCUAAAUUAGCUUAUUAAGUGUGAGCUUGAUUAUAGAUUAAUUGACACAUUUAGUUUUCCUUUGGCAGUUGGUGUACUUUUUUGAACGAUGAAAGUUAAAGCUUUCAGAAAACUGAAUUUUAUUUUCUACCUCAACAUUUUUUAUGGCUUCCUGUAUUUAGUUGAAAUGCUGAUCUGCUAGCAUUAACUUCAACUUUUUUUUGUAUUGUUCUUAUUUGUUAGUAUGUGUUGAACAUAAAAUCCUGUGUGUUCACUGAGUUAUGUCUUUAUGCUACAGAAACAACAGUUAAACAAAUUGAAGAUGCAUUUAAGGAGUUCACCGCCAGAGAGGACAUUGCGAUUGUACUCAUCAGCCAAUAUGUAAGUAGUCUUGUUUAAUACAGUUGUUUUUGUCCAGCUGUUUAUUCUUUUGUAUCAUGGGAACAUGGCAGAGCUAAUUUUUCUGCCUCAAAAGUUCAGGCAAAUGAGUUAGUUCUGUUAAAUUUGCUCUCAGUUCUAAACACAUUAAAAUGUUUUAGGGGUAAAAUUAUGGAGCUUGUGGUAUCAUCACGACAUGCUUGCCUAUUUCCCUGCAGGUGUAAUAAUUAGUCAAAACUGCUUAACCUUUGGUUGUGCUUAGUUCUAGACUUACAGACUUACAGUAAAGUGCUUGCUUAGUCUGCAGAACUUAGGCUCCUAAUAUUGAAUGAACAUUGGAAUUCCUGCAAUGCACCAAAAUCAGCUUUAAGCCUUUGCAUCUUGAGUAGUUCUGUAAAAGUUGAAAUUGAAAUGCUUAAAAAGAUGAAAUGGAAUCUGUUCUCUGAGAUGUUGAAUUUGUGUCUGUCAGGUUGCAAACAUGAUAAGGUUCUUGGUAGAUGGCUACAACAAACCUGUUCCUGCUAUACUGGAGAUCCCGUCCAAGGACCAUCCAUAUGAUCCAGCGCAUGAUUCGGUUCUUUCUCGCGUGAAGUAUCUAUUUUCUGCUGAAUCAGUGGCCUCAGAUAGGCGAUAAAAGUCUUAUGACUUCAUGUAUCUUGUCUAUGAUGUGCCUGGGCCAUUUUAUUGAAAAUGAAGAGGUAUUAACAUGUUCUGUAUCUGAAUGAGAUUCAGUCACCGAUGAUUUUUUAUUUAUUUGUCACAAUUUGUAUUUUCGUAAUCACAAUUUGUAUUUGGAGGAUAUAUUCUUUCCAGCUCAGUACUGUACUUCGAACUGUACUUCGUGCGCUGCACACAUAUCAUAUUGAAAUUGAAAUAGUUAUAAACCACAUGCACAUCUCGCCUUGCUGAUUCGAUGACCGCUUCUGCAUCCUGGCUUGGUCUUCACGCACCAGUUCGUGCCCCCUGAUAUAAAUGAUUUUUGCUAUUUCAUCUAAAAAACCCAGUUAAGCUUCUUAAUGAUGACCAAGCAGAUCCUAGAGGGAAGUGGUACUAUAAUACAAUGCGAGUUGAAAAGCACAGCUACAUGUUUCAAACACCUUUUGGAUUACAAUAAUUCGCAUGGAAGCCCGUCUUAUUCAUCAGUACAGCAUCCUCAAGGAAGCUGAUCAAUGGAACUACCAGUAUACAGAAAUGCCAUUACAUAGGUGAAAAUAGAACAAACACUACUCAUCACCGAGACUAUGAUGGUGAAUCUGUACACUAGGAUAAAAACUAAGAAAACACAGAAAUCCAUGCUGCGUUUUCAACGGAGGAGCAAGUCAUUUCCUUAUUCGAAUCCCAGGGACAUCCUUCAGCCCCAUCUUCAGUGCGGUCUUCCGAUAUAUCGCUGGAGGUUUCUCCAAGCCGAUCGAGGCACCAAAUCGAUUUGCUAAGUCGGCAAGCAUGGUUUUAUCUCUACCUAUGUCAGCAAUUGAGUUGUAGUACCCAAGCCAGGCAUGGUACGCUGCUUCUUUGAUGCUCAUGUCAACAAUUUUUAUUGAAUCGUCAACCUGCAUUGCAAAGCGUGAAUAAAAGUAUGACAAUGCUGAAUUAGCUGAUCGGUGACUAUUUAAUCACUACAAUAUAAUGGGGCAGCAAUUAAACAGUGAACUGAAUAGCGUGAUGAUGACAUAAAACAUCAGAAAAGCUGUUGUGGGCACAUGUGCAAGUACUGUUUUAAAUGUUGUUCUCGUAAGCAUUAACGAUAGAUUGCAUGAUGAGAUGAUUAUAGGACACAAUAGGCUAGUUCCUAAAAUAUAACAAGAACACAAGCUAAGUUAGCAAUCUGGACCUUUUGUUUCAUCUCCUGACCAAUGUCUGGUGCUGGACACUUCUCAAUCGGGAGAUCACCUAUCUCAUUCAGGAAAUAUUGUUCCCAUGGUGCAAGUAAAAGAAUUCCUUUGCCAGAUUUACCUUCCCUUCCAGUCCUUCCAAGCCGAUGGAUGUAAUGCUCUCUAUCAGGAGGAACACCAACCUAAUCCAAGAACCAUGUAUGUCAGUUCAGCAAUACUGAAGCACAGCAAUGUAAUCAUGCCACACAACUGUAAGAGUUAGACGUCAAUUCUCCAGUUGCUUAGGCAAAUAAAUGGUAGUGUCAUAAACUUUCUUCAGCUAUACAAUAAUCAUGAGUGGAAUUUCACCUGAAUCACAAGGGUGACAUCUGGAUAAUUCACCCCACGAGUAGAAACAUCUGAUGUUACAAGAAUUAAGCGAUUAGAGCCCCGGAACUCUUCAGAUAUGCGAGUUCUAAAAAGCUGAGGUUUUCUUGAGUGAAUUUCCCUGACAUUUAACUUCAAAUCUCGAAGCAUGAUAUACAUAAAUUCAGUCACCAUGGCUGUCGUGCAGAAAACAAUAACCUGAAAUUUGAAUAUUAUUAGUAAAACAACACACUGAAGUUCUUACAACUGGUUGUCUGAAGAAAAGGAGAUGCAGGACCUUGUAAUCAACUUCACGAUCAAUAUGCUCUUGAAGUAGGUGAUGAACCAUAUGAAAAUGCAGCUCAUGUGGUACCACAAGACAUGACUGCUGAACCUAAGCCCAACAACAGGAGGUAGAAAUCGGUCAACACCAAACAAAAUUAAUUUACAGAGAAUAGAAAAGAAGGCUAAGUGGCUAACAGAAGACCACAAACUUCUAUUUUAAGCUAGACAUGAUUUACAAAUACAACUCAUGUAUCCCUAAAAAAGGCAUGAUGGUAUAAUAUUCAAAUGGUCAAACUAAAGAGUGGAUAAUAUAUGGCUCCAAACAUGUAUAGGUGUGUAUCAAGUAUCUUAUCAGAAUAGUAAGAGAGCCAAAUAUUUUGAGGAGAAAGAGUAUACUUUAGUUUCGUUUAAAAAAAUAAAAUAAAGAGUAUACCUUAGUUGGGGUUUCAACAGCUCCAAGGCCCACUGUGUCAACAAAAACGUGAUCCCUCUUUAAUACUAGCUGUGAAACUCUUCGAACCUGUCAGUCACAACUAGCAACCAUUACUCCCAGUUUUAUGAUUGUGGUUCACAGAUAUAGUAUAAUAUAACACAGAUGGAGUUAGACAAAAAUACACAUAUAUUGGUGCACGAGCUAUGCUGAUUAUUAUACUACCUCUUUUGGAAUAGUAGCUGAGAAGAGCAGUGUUUGUCUUUGACGUGGCAAGCUAUCGACGAUCUUUUCUAUAUCUUUACGGAAACCCAAAUCUAGCAAAUGAUCAGCUUCAUCCAACACAAGCAAUUUCAAUCUCAUCAAACGGACAGAGAAUGAUGAUUUGUUUUCAAUGUGAUCCAGCAGUCUACCAGGUGUUGCAACUAAAAUCUGGAAUCAAAAGAAGGAAACGGAAAAUCGUCAGGCUAAAUUAAGUUUUGUCUUGAUCUUCAGUAGGUGGAUAAAUAUUAUAAACCUGGCAUGGAUCAGAUUCUAAACGUCUCUGAUCAAGCUUGAAUCUAGUGCCACCAAUAAGAGUUUGAACACCAAUUCCUUCAUGGUAUUUCAACAAGACAUUUGCUUCAGCUGCAAGCUGAAUAGCAAGCUCUCUUGUAGGGCAGAGGACAAGAACAAAUAUUGGAGAUACUCGCUGAUUUGUAUUGGUCUUCAUAGCAUUCAAGACUGAUUCAAUUGCAGGAAGCUGUUAAUCAAUCCAUUUUGAAUAAAUUGGUUGAACAAUAUGAACAUCAAAAGAAACAGAAUAUCUGAACCUAAUAUAUCAUGAGUGAACAUUACCAGAAAAGCUGCACUUUUGCCGGUUCCAGUUUUGGCCUUGACAAGAACAUCUUUACCUGCUUAUAUAUAGUAGUAUAAGUGAGAAAUUUGAUGACUUCAGUUAUAACAUGUUCUGAUAGUUCAGGCAGAGAUAUAACGGAAUACUAUCAUAAGGUCGAAGUCCUAAAAUGAAGAAAUACUUAAGUCAAGCAACAUGGACCAUAUGCUUAUGCUUAAAGAAGAUAUCACAAUGUACAAACAAAGAUUUAACAACCUGACUUCUUCAGAGAGGUACAUGCAUAAGGUUACGAGGGGCAACCUCAACCCCAUUCUGACACAUGUCCUCAAAUUCUUUUGAACCCAAAUGCAUGUUUUCUUCAUAUCACAAAGUUCAUUAUUUUCCUUUUUUUUGUGUAAAAGAAACUUGAAGAGAAAGUAAAAUAAAUAUAGUACCUUCAAGACAAAUAGGAAGAGCUGCCUCUUGCACCACAGUUGUAUGUACAUAUCCAGCAUCAGUAAGUGCUUUGACUGUCAGAGGGGAGACACCACACUCAUCAAAUCUGAAGACAAAAACAACAUAACUUGCCGGUUAUAUGGAUGCUAUCUCUUUCAAUUUUCAAAGUAAGACAGGACAUGCAAAAUUAAAUUUAUUAUUCACCAAUCAUUCAUUAACCUUGAGUCAAAAGGAAAAGUACCAUGAUGUGCAGUGAUGAGCAAUCUAUAUUGCCUCCACUCUUUGCAUUAUUGUUAAUUUUUAUAUUAAAGGUCAAUGUCAUGAUAAAACGGAACUCCAGAAGCUGAACUAGAGGAUUUCAUACAAUAUGAUGCACACAUUUCAAGAAUACUUCAUUGUUUACCCAAACCCAAGUUCAUACAAUAUGAAGCUCCUGGGCUACACAGCAAAUAUAAACAAUAGCAUAUAAUGAAAUAUGAGAGUGUGACCUUUUACUGGUAAGCAGAGAUUCACCCCUGGACUCGUAACGCCUCCUUUCAGUACCCAAAACCUCCCUAUUUCUGAUCUCCUCUCGCAGCUCUCGGAUUCUACCUGCGAGAUCAUUACUUUCCUCCUCGUAAUACUUGAGCACCCGCCUUUCCUUCUUCAUAUCACAGUUCCUGAGCGCAGCACUGCUCCAUCUUCUCCUAAUGGCACCUGUGUCCCCAGACUCAUCAAUUUCUGAAUCCUCUUCGCUCGAAGCCCCAAACUUUCCAAAUCUCAGAUUCCUCUUGGGCGCAGACGUACCCUCAUCAUCAUCAUCUGACGAAUCCGGUCUCCAUUUCCUGCCAAAUCGCCUCGCAGCCACUGAGUACAGCCUCUCCUGAUUAAACAGCGGCAAUGGUGCCUCCCUCCUUCCAUUCCCAACCUCAGUAAGGCCCCUAGCAACCAAUGGCCUGAGGUCGACACACGGCUGCCAACUCACGGAGCAAGGAGUCAUCACCGAGUAAGACCUCUUGGGACCAACAAAACGGAGAGGUCCCGGAUUCCAACGUGGGCACCAGGGUGCCACCACCGUUAGGUACUCUCUUCUCGGAUUGAACGCAGCCAAGGUCGGCCCCUUUCCCCUGUCUAAAGGCUCCUUCCGAGGCCUCGGCUGCCCCAGAGCUAGGUCCUCCCAGUCCUCCCAGCUCGGUCCUCCGCGGGGCUUCCCCGAGUCCAACUGCUGGUGGUGGUGCCGGACACCCGACGCGAUGCCAGUCGGCGGCCGCUUGGCGCGGCGGAGGGGCCCGUCGUCCUCGUUCCAGAGGUCCUCGGCGCCGGGCCUGCGGAAGCGGUCGGCGAGGGCGCGGAUGUGGGCGCGCGACGAGGUGGGCCCCUCUCCCUGCGGCGGAGCCUCCGCGGCGGCGCCCGGGAGGCGGGAGGCGCGGAUCUCGGAGCGGAGGCGGGCGAGGUAGAGCUGCUUCUCGUGGCGGAGGAGCCCCCGCUGCUUCUGCCGCGCCAGCUUCUCGUGCAUCCUCCUGUACUGCCACUUGGACAGCCCUCCCGGGAACGUGCGCGGUCCGCCCCCCAUCGCCGCCCGGGAGCAGCGACGGCGGCGCUGUAGGGUUUAUCGCUCGCUGCUGGGUUUUGGCGGCGGCGGGCGGCCAAGGCAAUGCAACAAACUGUGAAGUGAUGAGAGAGAAGAGGAGCAGUUACCAGUUAGGUUUCUGCUUUCAGCAGGAGUUGAGAGGUUUCCGCCUCCGCCACCAGGAUACUGAAAUGUGGGACCCACGGCUCGGCUUCAAUCCCGGAGACUCCCUCGCAAUCUCUCUCAGAGGAGAGGAGUGAGUUCACAGCAGAUGAGAUCUCUCGAGAUGGCGGGGGAGGAGAGGAAGCGGGUGCUAGUGGUGGGCGGCAGUGGCUACCUGGGCCAGCACCUCCUUGCGGCGUCCUCCGCCGCCGACCGCCUCGACGUCGCUUUCACCCACCACAGCCCCGCCCCGCCGCAGCCGCUCCUCGACGCGCUCCCCUCCGUCCGCGCCUUCCGCGCCGACCUCCGCUCCGGCGACGGCUUGGAGGCGAUCUCCGCGUCCUUCGGCCAGGUACUUAGGCAGUCGCAUUCCCAUCGCGCGCAACUCUCUGCUUCAUACGAACUUCUGCUCUCACUGAUUCAGUGAUUGACUGAUUGGCGAUUGCUUGUGCUUGGCUUAAGUACGUUACACGAAUCACGAGAUCAUCACUACUAGAGUACAUUUGUUCUCUGUUAACAGAGCAUGCUAACCUGUACCUGUUAUGUUCAGCCACACGUAGUUGUCAACUGUGCUGCCAUGUCAGUUCCUCGGGCAUGUGAAAUGGAUCCACCUGCUGCCAUGGCUACCAAUGUGCCUUCUUCACUUGUGAACUGGUUGCUAAGUUUUGGGAAUGAAGACUCACUUCUGAUUCAUCUCUCAACUGAUCAAGGUACAGCAUUCAUAAUCCUCAUUGUAAUACGUCUCUACUUCAGACAUUUUUUUUAUCUGUGUACGUGUAUGGACAUCCUAGACUCAAGUGUACAAUGAAAUAUGCCUCUCCCUCCUGUACGGUGCUGGCAGUUUAUGAGGGGGUGAAAUCCUUCUACAAAGAAGAGGACGAGACAAAGCCGGUGAACAUGUAUGGAAAAUCUAAAGUCGCCGCGGAGAAACUCAUUGUUGAGAGAUGCUCAAACUAUGCGAUCUUGAGAAGCAGCAUUAUCUAUGGACCACAAACAAUCUCUCCUGUGGCAAAAUCCCUUCCCAUUCAGGUAAAAUGCACUGCUCAGCACUCACCAAUAGUGUUAUGUUGUUCUCCCCAACUUAUAAGUAGGUAAACUCGUGUUGCUAAUGUUUCGGAAUUCAAACUGGUUCUACAGGACCAGAGCAGUAUCUAACUAAGAAAAGUACUUGGCAUUUGGAUGCAGUGGAUAGAUGGUGUUCUUUCACAAGGCCAACAGGUUGAGUUCUUCAAUGAUGAAUUCCGGUGCCCUGUCUAUGUCAAAGAUAUGGUGGACGUGAUUUUGUCAUUGACAAAAACUUGGUUAUCAAGUAUGAGUUUGACUUGUAGCAUUUGUGGAACUCAAUCAGUAGCAAUACUUUUUCUUGUGUUCAUUCUAUAAACAAUUUUAACAUGUUCCAGUUCAUAUAUAACGCUUCAAUAUUAGUGUUUUCCUAUUGGCAAUGUUUUCCAUUGUGCCAUGGUCACUGACAUCAAAGUGCAUGCUGCAGAUGGAGAAAAAGUCCAGGUCCUCCUAAAUGUUGGUGGUCCAGAUAGGGUAUCAAGACUGCAGAUGGCUGAGUCUGUUGCUGUUGUUCGUGGAUAUGACCCCAGAAUAAUCAAAUCUGUGUCUGCAUCAUCGGUAUUAUCUUGCCUCUGGAAUGUAGCAUUGGAGCAUCCAUACGAUAUCUGCCUGUUUAAUGUUAACACAUGAGUACUGUUAGAACACAGUUAUUCAACAAGCAUGGUGUUUUAGAUACAAGUUGGUCUUAACUUUACAACUGAAAUAGUAUCCAACAUUGAGCAUUGAGGCCCCUUUAAACAUUUUGCUUCCAUAUGCUUAUUUUUCCAUCAUAAUAUCUUGUAAUGCCCGGAUCUACCUGUUACCCAGGUUAAUCGAGGGGUAGCUUCUCCACCAGACAUAUCCAUGGACAUCACCAAACUAACCCAGAUUCUUGGUAUCAAGCCAAUCUCAUUUCGAGAUGGAGUCAGAAGUACACUUGAUGCAGAAGCCAGUACAUGACACUUCCUCAACAGUGUGCUUGAGUUCCUAGGGAGUUGCUUGCAUUCAAAUAUGAAAGUGUGACAGAAAAUCACAUUUAAUUUGCGAAAUUUCAGUAACAGUCAAUUUCUGUUGGAUUUAUGUGAAAUAUGUAACUUUGUACCUACUAAAGACCAAUGUCAUCAUCGGUGUUACUGCCUCAUUGUACUGUACCAUUAUGAAUAAAAAUGGCAUUCAUUUUAAAUCAUUUUUUCCAGAAAUGUGUAACUGUAUUGUGCAUGUAUAUUACAAUUUACAAUUUAAUGUUACCCUCAUGUAUUUGUUUUUAGAGUUUAAGGCUUUGCCCCUGUCUUAGCAUUAAGCAAAGACAAUAGCAUUCAGUUACAGCAUUCAGGUGGAUACCCUCAUGUAUUUUGAUUGUUUGGUAUUUUCAGAUUUGUUGCUUCCCAAUAUUUGGCUUUAAUUUCUAACCCUACCUUGGUGAGUUAGUAUUCUAUAUGGUGCAUAAUCCUGUAUUGGAUUGAAUAGAAGUGCUGGAUUACCUAUAUAUAUAGGGCAAAAUAUGGGCCUAGGUGACAUUGUCAUAUUCACACGACCAAUUCCCGUGAGAAGUGCAUUCUGCUUAUGGCCAAAGCAACAUGGUUUGACUCAAACCAUUGUCCUGUAGAAUGACCUAUUGGCAAAGCUAAGUACUGUUACUCCAGAGCUAAUCAGUCUUUUACAUGUAAUUUAUAGUAGGGUUUAGCACCUGUGGCACGAAUAAAUUGCAUUGCUUUUGACCCUAUUGCAGGGACAUGAGAGGGCGAUGGGCGAAUCACAUUCACAUGUGCCUAAACCUUAUAAUAGCUAAAGUCAGUACACCAACUCUUUGGCGCAACUCUACCACGACAAGCUUCCUCAGCUCUGCAGAAACUGCAAAAUCAUAUGAACAUGCAUGCAUAUAUUGUACGCAGCAAAGAUUGAACCACUGAAAAAUUGAGCACUCACACUUGCUUUUUAAACCAUGUUUUCUUCUACCACUUUCUGCAAUUUUUAACAGGUCUUGUUGCUGUAGCAAGCUUGUGCUGACAGAUCUUUGUUCGCACAUCAUCAAAGUAUGACGUGCAGACUGCAUCACUGGACAACCUUGCCAGGUAAGCAUACAUAUUAAACCUGUGUAUGGUAUGCCUGUAGAUUUCCAGUUAAUCUCCAGCUAAAGCAGCAAAUGCUCAUCAAGGGUACUAAAUUUGGUUGCUUGAUAAUAAAUUGCCAUUAACCCUGCCUGUAGUGAGACACACUAUUAAUGAAUAACGCAGCAGCACGGAUCGAUGCAGAGACACAUCAAUUAACAAUCCAGCACGUCAAAUGGGAAUCAAUAUUGUCCUGUCAUGGUUCUUUUUUUCUUUCCCCUGUUACCAGAUCUGUUGAACCUUGCAUCGACUUGACCAAACAGUAGACAUAGAAAAAUAUAACUGAUGUCUUCUCUGCCAGUCUGUAGUCAGCUGCCCGUUCCUGCUUCCCUCCUAAAAAGACGUAAUUUGGAUUUGUGCGUUGUCAAAUUUUCAAAAUUUAAUUAAGUUUAUAGAAAAUAUUAUUAAUGUUUAUGACCCAAAAUAGUAGUAUAUUGUGAAAAUAUAUUUCAUGAUGAAUCCAGCGGUACAUAUUCAAUAUUAUAAACAUUAGUACUCUUUUGUAUAAUUUUUUUAUCAAAUUUAAAAUUGUUUGACUUCUAAAAAGGUGACAAUUGCAGGGUUUUUUUUUGAGGUGCGGUGGGGUGUAUUUUGUAGUCACUCUGCUGGUAAUUGGAAUUUGCAAUGCUUAGAACUCGAUUUGGUCCAUCACAUUGAACUGCCCCAUCCAGGUUCAAGAUUCUGCCAGGAUAAUGGCCCUGCAUUUUUAACACCUUAGUUCCUCUGAAGGUCAGCUUUACAUUUGACACUUGUGCCUUGUCCCCUGCAGACGCUGCAGUGUUUUGGUAGAUUAUUAAAGAUUACUGAGCACUGGUCUUGAUUUGGAUUUCCACCAGAUGUGGAGCCUAACCGGUUGGUAGGGAUACCAAUGGUGUUAUGUUAGCUUAAGCUACCUUGCGUUGAUACUCUAAUCCCAGGGCAGCAGGGCUGUUUUGAGGUGAGAGUGAGAGGGAAGCAGAAGCCAUCUUACCUCUCAAAGAACAAUUGCUUGUAGCUGCAACCAAAGUCUGCUGGGGGUACCUUUUCAAAGGACCAUUGGUUGCUUGCUUGAUCAGGCUACAUAAUAACAUGCAAGGAAACUGUCACAAACAGCCAAGAUUGUCAGUCAGUAACCUCUCGGCCUAAGCAUUUCUUUAUUAUGCCCACAUGAGUUUCAUGAAUCUUUCCGUAUAGGCCUUGGAGAAAGAUACCAGGCCCUUGUUUAGUUCCCCAAAAAUUUUGCAAAAUUUUUCAGAUUUCCCGUCACAUCGAAUCUUUAGACGCAUGCAUGGAGUAUUAAAUAUAGACGAAAAUAAAAACUAAUUGCAUAGUUUGGUCGGAAUUGAUGAGAUGAAUCUUUUGAGCCUAGUUAGUACAUAAUUGGACAAUAUUUGUCACAAACAAACGAAAGUGCUACAGUACCUAUUUUGCAAAAAAUUUUGGAACUAAACAACCAAACCUCUUCAGAAGACCCUGACAGCUAAACAAAGAGGGCUGAGGACACAUACUUCGAAGUUACCUAAACUUUAACCUAGCACGACCUCUAGUUCUCUGUUUCACAUGGCUACAGCAUUGUUACUGUAACAGUGGAAGUCAGACUGGCCUGAACCCAAAGUUUAAGCUGAUGGGAUACCUGGCACUGUGUCUGACUGUCUGUGUACAUACUUCUUCAUGUUCAUUCACAAGCCACCAUGUAUAGAUCAAAAUAUAGCUGCUAAAUACACCCAUGUCCAAAAAAAAAGAAUAUUUGUAUAGCUUAAGUCAAACUUAAGUUGGAUUUAUAGAAAAUAUUAUUAAUAUUUGUAUCUUCAAAUAGAUUUACUGAAAAUAUAUUCUAUAGUUCAUUUACACAUCAUAAAUAUUAGUACCAUUUUCUACAUUUUUAGAAACUGAAGGAGUAGACUGAAAAAAAAAAGCAAAAUCUAGAAAGUUUUUUUCGAGAUCGUGUCAUUCACCCGUUUUUUAUUAAGAGAGAGUUAAAACAAACAACAAAACAGAGUCCGACGGCGAGUAGCCAUCGGUGUAAGUCCGAAACAGUUCGUCUAACUACUGGAUCAGACUUCCCUAAAAAAAAACUACUGGAUAGGACAGUACUACAGUAGCCAUCAGUGUAAAUCUAGAAAGUAGUAGUAAUUUUUUUAUUAGCAAACCAAACGCGUUGUCAUCUAUGAAGAGUUAACUGGACCAUACCAUAGGAUCGAUGUAGGUUCAUCUAUUUCUUGUUGCCGGUGUCUGCACCCCACGGGAACAGGGUAUGGACUCUGGACCCCCAGCUAAAUCCAUAUUAAUACCCUCAGACGGUCAGACCCUUGCCUCCCAAAGACCUCUUUCUCUCUCUCUCUAACAUAUGCCAUGGGGAUGAUGUUCUUCCGGCGGCACUUGGUCUCUUGCAUCCUCCUGCUCUUGCUAAUGUCACACUUGCCAAACUCCAUCCUCGGCUUGAGAACAUUGAGAGGAGAGGAAGCGAAGAGCGAGUUGAGGCGCCAUGAACACGAGCUUCCGCCAGCCGUAUCUCCUUCAAAAGAGGUGGACAACAACGAAGCUGCCGCCGCCAGUAAGUUCACAGUCUCAAGAAGAAUGGUUCCUCAAGGUCCAAACCCUCUCCACAACUGAUGAGAGGAUCGAUCGGAGCAGCAUGCUACUCUGCUUCUAGUAUGGUCUUCAGCCAAGGUAGCAGGCAGCUAGCUAGCUAGCUCUUCUCAUCAGUCUCAGCUACGGGUGUUGUGAGUGUGUCAUGCACUCAACAAACUACUUCUUCUUUUUCUUUUAGCCUAGAUGUCAUAUGAAUGAUACAGAUGGAUGCAUAUAUAAGUUGAAUACUACUUACUCCCCAUGUAAUAAUGUGUUCUUGUUGCAUUGAUUUAAUCUAUAGGCAGCUUUGUACAUAGAUUUUUAUGAUAUUAUUAAGGUGUAAAAGUUGUUGUGCUAGAUGGAUCUAGACUUUGCACGUUUAUUUACACAUGGCUGUAAGGUUGUACUCCUGUGUUAUGUUACUUAGAAACAACAGAGAUUUCAGCGAGUCAUAUAUGGUUUAACAGGAGAGAGGGCCGGGUGAUUUAGACAGUGCAUGCGGUACUGUAUGGUUGGGAUGGUUACUUGUUUGUUUUGUUGUGUCAAGGAAAUUAAAGGAAGGUGUGAUCUCUUCUCUUGGUAGUUAAAGGGCUGCCAUCUGCAGAAAAAGAAAGAGCCGUCUGCUAGCUCCUGUGGUUAGGCGUUAACAAGUGGUUUUGAGUGGUCUCGCUCAGUCGGAUGCAAUUGGAACGGAAGCACAAGAAAGUAUACCUUGUAAACUCAUGCUUGAAGGAAAAUGGAAACCAGAUUACUUUUCAUAACCUGUUUGUUGCCAUCUUUUCAGACAAGAGAAAAGAUGGCUGAGGUUGGUUGGAGAAAUUUGAAUGUGGUUUUUAGACAAGCUGGCUACAUACUGGCAGGAGGAGAGAAAACAAACAAGUACCAGCAGCAUGGAGUAGUGAGCAGUAUCGGUCAGCGUCUCCCCCGCAGGACGCGCUGACGGGAUGGGACAGUGAAAUUAGGUGCAGAUAUAUAUUGUUUAUUUAAUUAUCUAUUUUUGUUUCUGUUACCCGAGUGGGUUACAUGCAUGGCAUGACGCUGUUGAAUUUGGACCCAUCGAUCAUGAGUAUGGUCGGCGUGCCCUUUUAACAGUGACUAGUGCACAGUAUUUCUAGUCCAAUGGCACUCAAUUUGGAACAAUUAGUAUAUACGUACAUGAACUUUGUCUGUUUUGUUUUUCUGUGAAAUAAAGUAAUUUCUGUCAAUUUUUCUGUAAUUCCUGUGGAAUUAAACUCGUACUACUACUACUACUACUACGUUUCAAAGGAUCU